AUAAAAACAACCAAAAAAGAUAUGACCCUUUUAUUAUAAAAAAACUAGAGAUCAAAUCUCAUAUCAUCUUAAUCAAACCAUAGCAAACUGAACCCUGGACAAGAUAACAAACAUAGCUUAAAAAACUAUGGAGUAUCCACACACCACGUAGACCUAGGCAUAUGCUAAAAAUAACAUAUGCCCUCACCGUAACCAUAAUAAUAUAGUAGUAAUAAUAGUAGUAAAUAAAAUACUAAGGAACAGAAUAAACUCAACCAACUUUAAUAAGACCCCCAUCAUUCAUCAACCCCAUCUUCACUAAAAUUCCUCAGAAAGUUUCCGGUAUAAUUUACUCUUCAGCUUUCUCCACUGGAACUGCUUUCUCUUCAACAGAUUCUGCUGCUGCUACUGGUUCCUCAGCUGGUGCAUUUAUAGUUUCCUCAGCCACUGCUUCUUCAGUUACUGGAGCUGAUUCCUCUGCUACUGGGACAGCUUUCUCUGUUUCUGGUUCCUCAACAGGGGCUGCUUCGAGUUCAACCUCGUCGACUGGGGCUGCUACCUCUUCAACAGGACCCACAGUUGAUGGCUCUUGUGUUUCUGUGGUUGCAGGUUCUGCUGCAGCCACGGGUUCUUCAGCAGCAGGGGUUGCUUCCUCAGCGGGAGCAGGCUCUUCUACUGGUGCUGCUGCUGAUUCGACGACGGAUUCGCUUUCUGCUACUGGGGUUGGUUCCUCUACUAUGGUUGCCUCUGGGGUUGUUUGAACCUGAACCUCAGCUGGAGUAGUCUCUACUGCUGCUACUGGUGCAGAUUCAACCUUCAAACAAAAUUUGAAAUUUCAAUUCACAAGAAAAGAUCUAUAUAAGCGAUAACAAUUAGUUGGGAAUAUUGUUACCGUCAUGUUAGUAUGUUUACUUUAGUUCCUACAUAUACUAGGUAUCUUUAUAUCCUAUCACUAAGUUAUAUGCCAGUAACAAAUAUAGAGAACUUAAAUGGAGCGACAUGGUCAGUAAAGAUUCAAUUCAUAUAGCUGAUAUUGCUUGGGCUUUGGGGUUGACGUAUUGUAAUAAUUAUGUUGUUUUGAAUUCUUGAUAUCAAACUAUGGUCAUAAAAAAGCUCUGAUCACUGACCUUCUCAAGAUAUUUCAUUAUGAAACCUUUAUCCAAGAAUGAUCUAAUAAUAUUUUCAAGAUAUAAAGAGUAUUGAUCAACCAUUAGAUUUUAUUCACUUCAUCAGAUUGUCUAAAAUAUAAAUCUUGAAAAGCUUAAAAAGCACUGAUCAGUUGAAGAACAGGCUAACUAACUGAUUUUGAUCAGUUUUAAGUUUUCAUUUAGAAAGAAAAGAUGAAAAGAAUUGACAAAAAAAAAACAUUGGUAUAAAAGUACCUCAACGCUAGCCAUUGGAAAUUGAAGAACUAAGAAAAUGGGAAGGAGGAAAAAAGAAUGAAAUGGAGGGGGUCUUAGGAAGCAAAGGUGGCCAAAGUGUUUUAAAUUGUGAUUGAUGAUGAAAAAGGAUCAAAUAAGAGAGCUAUUUAUAGGGAAGUAAAAUCGACUGUAUUAAUUAAAAUAAUGAAAGAAAAGAAUCUUAAAGGAUAUACAAAUUGACAUCUCAUAACAGUGACUUUAAUGAGUGUCCAAAAAUUCAAAUGCCUAGUUGUAAAUAUAUUUAAUUUACUUUAUGCUUACAAAAAAUUAAUAUUAAAACAGUAACAACUGCAUAUCCCAAAUAUCAAACAAGUCUGAGGUUGGUUGUAUAAAUUCUAUGCUUCAUGUCAUAUCACAAAUAUAUUUUGCAUUGUAAAGAAUCAUUAUAAAUUAGUUAAUUUUAUGUUGAUUGGCGAUCUGCUACUGUAAUUUUUCUCUUUUAUUCAGGUAAUUAAGUUUGGUAAAUAAUAUGAAUAAGUUAACAUAAAUAAUAAUUAUGCGUCAAUUUCAGAUAAAUUGGGGUCGACUUUAUUAUGAAUGGACAAGUUUUACAUUGAUUUCUAACCUAUCACAAAUUUUCUCAUUUAAUCAAGUUUGAAAUUGACAAUACAAGCAAGCUUACACGGACCGUAUGAACUUUUCCAACACAACCUUUUUACUUUUUCCUAAUUGAUUUUCAAGAUGAGGGGCUUUUUCUUAGGUAAGAUUAUUUAUUAAUUCAUUUAUUAAUUUGUCUAAAGGCAUUUGUUUGAUUAGGAAAUGGCAAAGUCACAUGGUGGUGGAGGCCAUUUCCUAUAAACAGCUAUUAUAUCUUUUUUCUUGAGUGGUUUCUUCUGUGUUUUGUGCAGUAGGGCACGUAGGUGACUAAGACUAUCAUGCUUUCAUGUUCUAAUAAUUUUUAAAAAUAAUUUUUUUCUUUUUCUGUUCCACCUUUUUCUUUUAAUUAUUUUUUUCUCAAUUCUAGAUCUUUACAACAAAAUCUCUUGGUUUAAGGGAAUGAAUCUAAUUGCUAGUAAUUCAUGCAAAUACUCAUAUAAAAACCAACUCAUCCUUCUUUUAAUAAUUUUUAGAUGUAUUUUUUUUUAUUUCUCACCCGAUGUUUGAUAUCAAUAGGGGUCUGAUUAAAUUUGGAUUUGCGCCGAAAAGUUCUACAUUGAGGGAGAGGUAAAGUGAUCUCUAACAAAGGUGGCUCCAUACCUAGGGGCUCGAACCUGAGACCUUUAAUUAAGAAUUAAGCAGUAUGUAUCAGUCCAUCGCAACCCUUAUUGGUUAUAUGUAUUUAUUGGAUCUCGUAAACUAUUGAUUUUAGUAUUACUUUAUCAUACAAAUUACCACCAAGAUUUUGUCACAGUAGUGACAGAGUAAAUACAUCACUAAUUACUAAUUUGAAAAAAAUAGGCAACUUGAUUUUCUUUCUGAUUUGUGGACAAAUGGAAAUGAACGUAAAGGCCAAAAUAAUAGUGAAGGGCCGGUGCCGAAUUGGACCCCACUAUCACAAAAUACGAUCAUAAAAUGUCCAUAUGGGUCCCAUCCACAGCAGAAAUCUGACGUGGCACAUUCUUUUUCGAUCCAAUUCAUCCCAUAUACAUUUGGGUUCUCUCUGAAUGGCCCCUACUUUAAUAUGUUUAUUACGGCCUUGUGGGCCCAGCCUUGAGAUGCUUUCCAGGUACUACACCUCGUGCUUUCUGGGUCCCACUAGCAUGCCCCUCUCUAUUUUGCCACGCUGGAUUUGAGUCAUUCGCCACUCUAUUUUUGCGCUGCGCACUUUUUAAAAUAUUACCGUAUUAAUGUCGGAUUCUUCAGAAAUAUAUUAUUUUUGGAGUAUUCGAUAUAUAUUUGCUAAUAUUUUUGGAAAAUUCAAAAAAUUAUAGAUUAUAACUUUAGUGAAAAUUGUAAUUAAAUGAUAAGUACUUUGUAAUCACUAAAAAAAAGAUAAGUAUUUUGUCAAUCCGAACUGAAAAAAUUAUUUGUAAAAGAACUCAAAAAUUUCAAAAAAGAAAAGUAGUAUCUAAGCAAGAAGUCGGUGAAUUUAUAUUAUGCGUAUAUAUUUGCCUAAGAUCUCCCGUACACCUCUUCUUCGGAAACUUGCAAGCCAAGAAGUUUAUCAAAUUUUUUUGCCUUUGAUCCCUGUCCUCGACCCGCCUUUUGUCAUGGGCAUCACACUAAUUCAAUUAGUAAGUAUUUACUAAAAGAAAAAUUCUUUUAAGUUUAAAUUUUAUUUAUUACUAUAAAAUUAUACGACAAUGUUGUUACCGGAAUGAUGUUAGACAUGCUGAAUCAUUUCUUAAUAGAAAAAGUAGGCAACACUAUUCUUUUUUUCACCAGGGAGGGAAAGUAUGGAAGCACUAUAGAUCUUCCUAAUUUGGGAGAGGUUUUAAAAAAAAAAGAAGUAGGCAGUACUAUUUGAUAUUGUCCUAACUAUGAUUGACGUCGAUACCAGUGUGAAGAGAAUAUAUAUAUAUAUAUANNNNNNNNNNNNNNNNNNNNNNNNNNNNNNNNNNNNNNNNNNNNNNNNNNNNNNNNNNNNNNNNNNNNNNNNNNNNNNNNNNNNNNNNNNNNNNNNNNNNNNNNNNNNNNNNNNNNNNNNNNNNNNNNNNNNNNNNNNNNNNNNNNNNNNNNNNNNNNNNNNNNNNNNNNNNNNNNNNNNNNNNNNNNNNNNNNNNNNNNNNNNNNNNNNNNNNNNNNNNNNNNNNNNNNNNNNNNNNNNNNNNNNNNNNNNNNNNNNNNNNNNNNNNNNNNNNNNNNNNNNNNNNNNNNNNNNNNNNNNNNNNNNNNNNNNNNNNNNNNNNNNNNNNNNNNNNNNNNNNNNNNNNNNNNNNNNUAUAUAUAUAUAUAUAUAUAUAUAUAUAUAUAUAUAUAUAAGUUGUAUUUUCUACUCUUCUAUUUUAAUUUAGAUGACAUAAUUCUCUUAUAGACCAAUAUUUUAAAAUAUAUACUUUCUUAACAUAUUGGUUAAUUUUCUUUUUAUAAAUUAUAGUAUUUCUCGUAUAGUUUAUGAUUAUCUAAAUUUUAAUUUUAAAACAUUAACUUGGAAUUAAUCCAAUUUAGCUUCAAAAUUUAGUCAAAUUGAUUCUGGAUAAGUAGAAUAUGUCAUCUAAAUUGAAAAAGAGGAAGUAAUAAAAAAUAUUAUUUUCAGUUUUUACUUAUUAUUAAGUAUAUUUCUAUCACUAAAAUACUACUUCUAUAUAGUUCUUAGGGGUAUAAGGAAUAAGAUGUGACAAGAUGUGUGAUUAAAUUUUGUACUGUAUUUGGCUGGCAGUAUAAAUUUAUACUUUCGACAAAAUAAAGUAUAAAUUUAAUCCCAAGCUUAAUCCAGAAUAUUUAUCCCACUAAAUAUGAAAUUAUUUUAUCCCGUCUCUUAUAUGAUAUAAGUUAGCCGACAUAAUUUAGUUUGAGUACCACACAAUGCCUUAUUACUAAUAUCGUAACGGUCAACAAACAAGAAAUUUUGGACUGUAGCAUUGAAAAAAAAAAACAAGACAAGAAUCGUCAUCAGUAUAUUAUGAUGGAUUAUUAUAUGCAGAGGAACCAAUUUUAGUAUCAAAAUCACAUGUAAUCUAGAUAACUAGCAUAAGGGGAUUUUAUGAGUUACCUCUUGAAGCGUGAACAAAUCCCCGUUAUCACGUGAGCCUCCAAUUGCACAGCAACUCAGUGAAUUCUCCAUCAUACGCACAAUCACGGUCUUCGAAUGUUUCACGGUAUUCUACUGUGUUACCCAAAUAAUACUCGAAAAUAGUAAUUUUGUGUGAGCGAAAGUUUUAGGAAAAUAUGGCUAAAAAUUUAAGCCACCAUGUACUACAGCCUUUAGGUGGAAAACUUUAUGUAUCUAUAGCACAAGUUUUAAUGGUUAAAACCCUUUUCCAAAACCUGAUUGGUUUUCCUUUCCACCAGGAAAUGGAUUCCUUUAUUUCAUAUUAAUUAGGCACAGCAUGGACCACAAAAUUAAUUAGCAAGGCUCCAAUUAUGGAAUUAAUUUUUAAUUUUUGAAAUUAAUAUCCACUAUAUUAAAUACGAGUUAUUCCACUAACAAUUCGUAAUUGCACUCCUUAUUCAAUUUCAAAAUUUAUCAAUUAAAUCUUAUUUAAUUCCUCAUGUUAAGAUUCAGAUACUAAUAAAUUAAAUUAAAAUACUGACGAUUUAAUUUAUUGAUUAUUUUCUUUAGACUUUUGCUUAACUUAUUUCAUGUGUCGGAUAUAAAAUCCACCGGCUGAGUUUACACAUGAAAACUUAUAAGCUUUCAUAAAGGUGUAUCAUCAAUCUCUGAAUCGAGAUAUGGAUUCCAUCAACUAACUAUUACUUCGCCAACGUACAUUAUUGUUAUCCAAUUUACCAGGAAUAUUAACCCACGAAAGAAUCUAGCCUUUUAAUAAAUCAAUACAAUAAUAAUAUAUACAACUAAUAAUGAUUAUAUCAAGAUUAAAAGUAUAAGUACAUCUAAUGGCUAGAGAGUUUAUUUUAUUAAGUCGGUAUAAAAUACUUAUCUCUACAUGGUCUGUUCAAUACAUACAAAAUGUACUAGCACAAGAAGUUGGAAUUAAAACCAUUCCCAUAAUUAAGAUAAAUUAUAUUUAAUCUUGUGGUACAAUCAUUCCUGAUGGUUUGUCCAAUUCCAUCAUUAGAUUGUGAACUCAAACUUUAUACUUAUAAGAACCGAUGAUAUAAUCUUCCGUGUAUAAGCUAAACUCUAUACACAAAAUCAUCUACUAUAUAAGCAAAGGACACAAACUAUUAUAUGAUUUAUUUAAAAUUUUAUUAAAACUGAAUAAAAUGUAUAAGCUAAACUCUAUACACUACGUCAUCUAUUAUAUAAGAAAGGACACCGACUAAUAUACGAUCUAUUAAAACUUUAUUAAAAUUGAAUGAACAAUAUUAUCAUAAUAAAUAUUAUAUCUAAAUCAAACCCAUGAUUAAUAGCAUAUAUCCCAAUUAUCUCCCACCUAGACUUUUAACCAUGAUAAUUGUCAGAAUAAACUAUAUCCAAACGCAUGGUUAAUAGUAUAUGCCCCAACAAUCUCCCACUUAGACUCAUAAUCAUGCAUCUAUAACUUUCCCUGGCAUUCUUUUACAAGACUAUUAAACAUUUUUACCAAAUAAGGUUUUGUUAAAGAAUCUUGCCAAAUUAUUUUUGAUGCAAUAUUUAUCCAGUAGUGCUUUGUUGUAACCAUCUAGUUUGGUAUUAAACUCUUCAGGGAUCCUGUUACUUGAAACUAUCCUAAAAGUGUACACCGAACUAUAAUUUUCUUUAGUAUUCUUCCACUAUGACAACAAGGUCAUACAUUCAUGUACCACAAGAGAUAAAAUGUUUAUCAAGCUCAAUAACUCAAUAGUUAUUCGAAAAAACAAAAACAAAUAUCCAUCUCUUAUUUUUUCCAAAAUCCAGAAUUAAAUUCCUUCUAACAAAAAGUACAUAUAUUGCAUCCUUUAGAUUAAUGUUAUCGCUAAAAAAUAUUUUAACAAGUAAUACGACAAAUUACAUAAAGUCAUAGUGGAGUUGAGAUAAAAAUAUUAAAUAGAUCAUAAUAAGUUAAAACACCGAAUACUAAAAUUCAGACUGCAUUCAAUAUUUAUAUACAUACAUGCAUCUCGAAUAAUAAAUUUUGAUGGAAAAAGAAUCAUUCAUUCAAAGUAUAUUAUAUAAUGCAAGAAUUAUACAAUCUAAAAUAAAUAGAACCAACUCAGAUGGAUAGUAUACUACUAUUUUCAGUCAAUUAUAUAUAACCUUUUAGUAUAAAAUUUUAAACACACUGCACAUAUAUGUCAUGCAUUUUGAAUAUCAAUUUCGAUGGGAAAAGAAUUACUCAUGCAACAUACAUAUGUAAUGCCAAGUUAUUCACUCCAAUAAUUAAAACAAACCCAACUCAGAUGGAAAGUAUAUUGUUAAUUUAAGUCAAGCGAACAUUAUUUUCAAUAGCUCUAGUUCCAUUGAUCCAACAUGUAUAUUCAGAUGGAGAGUAAGUACACGAUAUCAAUUACUAGUAUUUCACCUAGUGAACUUACAAUGAAUUUAUCCGAUAUGGAGGAAGACCUAAAGUCAAUGCAAAAAUUUAUUAUUCACUUGAAAUUAAUAGUGGAAGACCACAAAAAUAUAUUUCUAUCACACUUAAUCAUGAUUGUAUUUUAAUUAAAAAACUGAUUCAACCCUUAAACUCAGAUGGAGAGUUAAUACAAGUUAUCAAUAACUAGUAACUAUAUCCAAUGAGUUCUUAAUAAAUUUAUCCAAUAUGGAGGAAGACCUAAACGUCAACGCAUAAAUUUAUUAUCUCACUAUAAAUAAAAAAUGGAGAUCAUAGGGAUUAAUUUCUAUUACCACUUUAUCAAAACCACGGACUUUUCUCUGAGGUUCCAUAAUUAAAAAAAGGAAAAAAGGUCAGAACUGCCCCUAACGUAUUGACUCCAGGUUAAAAAUGCCUUCCGUUAACCUAUUUUGACUUGACAAUUACUUAAACGGAAAUGGGUCAGAACUGCCUCUAACGUAUUGAUGUCAAUUGAAAAAUAUCCUUCGUUAAUCUAUUUUGAAAAAAAAUACCCCUACCGUCAAAAUUCUGACAUAUUUAUGCCCAUAAUCUAACAAGUUAGUUUAAAAAAUACCCUCCGUUAAUCUAUUUUGAAAAAAAUGUCCCUACCGUUUUAAAUAUAAGUACAGUCAGUUGUUAGACUUCGGGGAACAAAUAUGCCAGAAUUUUAACGGUAGGGGCAUUUUUUUAAAAUAGGUUAACGGAGGGCAUUUUUAAAUUGGAGUCAAUACGUUAGGGGCAGUUCUGACCCUUUUCCCUUAAAAGUAUUAAGCUGAGGAGAACCAAAUUUUUUUUCCAGUUUUUCUUUUUCUUUUUCCAAUUUUAUUCUGACCCUUUUCCGUUAAAAAAAUGCUCAAAUCCCCAUUUAAGCAGUCUUAAAAUGCUAAAAUUAACGUAUUCUACUGUAUAGUAGUGAGUACUGUUCACUAGGUUAUUUCUGGUAAGUUUACCAAAUUUCACAUUAAUCGAAUAUCGUUAAAAUCACAAUCUCCAAAAAUUGCGACCAAAUUUGAAAAUUUACCCUUUUAAGCAUUUUUUAAGAAUUUAAAAUAUGACCUACGUUCGUAUCAUAUACCAAUUUACUCAAAUUGAAAUGUGUUAUCAUGUUCCAGAUAUGACACAAAAAAUGAUAGAAAGAACGGUUUUUUGUAUAUAAAUCACAUUUUAAUCCGCUAAAUCAUCAAAAAUCUCAUCUAAAUGAUCUCGAAUCGUCAAAAUACGAUGCGAUUCAUUGCAUAGUAGUGAGUUCUUCUUAAAUGAUCAUUUCCACUGAUCCUGCCGAAUUCAUGUCAUUUGGAGAUCGUGAAAUCCACGAUCACCAAAACUAGACUAAAUUCGAAUAUUAUCUUUCCGUAUUUAGGAUUAAAUCCAUGUAAUUUGCAUUCUUAUUAUAUAUCAUAUCAAGUUAAACCAUCAUGUUUCAGAUUUAACACAAAUAUAGCCGAUAUAUAAAGAAUACUUUUUCAUAUUUAUAACAAAUUCAAUUUAAUAAACUAUUUGAAAACCCAUCUAAACGACCUCGAAAUGCCAAAAAAUAACAUGAUUUACUGCAUAGCAGUGAGUUUUUAUCACUAGAUCGUUUUCGAUGAACCUACCAAGUUUUAGGUCAAUUGGAGUUCGUCAAAUUAAUGACCUGCCUGUAAUCAAACUCGGAGAAUAACCAUUUUAAGCAGUUUAAUGAAUUAAAAUAAAUAUGAUAUUGAUUUCCAUUGAGCAUAUAAUUAUACUAUAAGCUCAAUGCAUAUAUUAUAUUCUUCAUAUUUCUUGGAUACACAAUAUUUCCUUCUACAAUGAAUUAUCCUUUUAUUAAAUACACAAGAACCUACGAUAUUAUAUUUUCUCCCGUUUGGCGAAAAACCCUAAUAUCUCUUCUCAUGGGUAGAGUUGAUCUCGCUAGUACCAAAAGAUAAUACACUUUUCCUAGUUAGGAACCUCCACCACUAAUAUAGAUUUAUCAAGGAUAAUUUUCACAUGGUACAUUAAGCAGAUUUUCAUGAUCAAAUAAAUAGAUCAUUUAGUGGAUCCAACUUAUUAAUCAUAAUGCACAAUCCAUGAAUAAACACAAUUUCAUAUGUACAAACUUAUUAAAAAAAUGCAUGAGUUCAAAUAAGCAAAGUAUUUUAGUGGUAACUAUUUAUUACUCACAAAAUUAUCAAUUUAUAAGUGAAGAUACAUAUAGAUUGUGAGCAUGUGAUUUUUACCUGGUAUGAAUUACUCCUACAGAACUCCCAAAAAUUAAGAUUUUUCUUUUAAUUAUUUUUUUUGGAAUCACUGUAUGAUUUUUGUGCUUGUUUGCAUUUUUGCGUGCAUAUUUAAUUUAGGCAAUUCAUGAAAAAAUAAAAAAAUACAUUGCAUUUGCAUUUGAGAUCUAAUUUUUUAUUUUUUAGGAUAAUUAGUUAUUUAAUGUUACAAAAAUAAAAAAAUAACAAAUAGCUCUUUUGCAUUUUUUACUAUUUAAAAAUUUAAAUUUAUUAGAGUUUUCCUUAAUUUAGGACUUAAUUGAUUUUUGAGAAGCAAUUCUUUAUUAAUUUAAUUUUUGGGUUUAAAUUGGAUUUUUAUAUUCUUAUUUGUAAUUAGCAAAAUUUGAAAAUGAAAAAAAGAGAAAAAAAGAAAGGGUUUGUUAAUAAAAAGUAAUUUGAGCCAAUUCAACUUAACCCCAAGCCUAAAUCAUUUCUUCUCCUAAAACACACCCAAAUUACCCCUGAUCCAGUCCACUUCCACCCUAGUCCCAAACGACCAAAUUUGAUCUUAGCCGUCGAGGUAAGGAGAUCAGACGGCUGAGAAGUGAGGUCCCUUCAGUAUAAAACUGUCCAAACAUACCCACCCCCUCAUCUGCUCAUCUCCCUCACCUUCUCCGACUCCCUAUAAUCGCCACUAGCCACCGCCAGAAAUUGCCCCACGGUGGCGGCAAGUCUCCAAUAGACCUGAAAUUCACACUGCACCUUCUCCUCUCCUACCUCAUGCUCAUACCACACUCUGUUUCCCUCAAAACCUACUAAACCGCGCCAAAUCUUCAAAACCCUAGCACUGCCACAGUUCCUCCGAUGACAGCGCCGCCUCCAACCUACCCCAAACUAAAACUAGAGAACCUCCAAGUCUCCCUCAUCCCAAAUCCCCAUUUAUUUUCCCUCGAAUCCCUAUCAGUUGGCUCGAAUUUUAAAUUAGAGGUCGAAGCCCUAAUUCCUCUAACUCAAAAUUCAACGGGCCUGUGAGGAUUUUAGAUUGUGUUGGACCUUAGUCUUGUGUUUUCAGAUAAAAAACACAAGAUUAAGGUCCAUCUCCGCCAUAAAUUAAUGAUUUCAUCGAAAUUUUAACUCAAAUUGUGGUCCGCCUAGUUUUGAUAAUCACUCAGGUACUUCAUCCUUUUCAUUGUUCUUGUCUUCUUAUAUCUUUCUUCUUUUGUCAUUCUAUUUUUCUCAAUAUGUUUUGCAUGUAUUUCUGUUAAUUUAGUCAAGUGUUAAUUGCUUUUUCUCUGGUUUAUUUGAUUUUAUUAGAUUAGUUUAACUUUUUUAUUUCUUUUAAUUUCAAGUCUGGGCCAUAAUUGAAUCUUUAGUUCAUAUUUUGAAUGGCUUCUUUUUUUCUGCCUCAUCAUUUUGUGAAAUCGUGGAAUCAGACCUGGGCGCAAAGAAAAGAAUUAGCCCAGGUCUUGUUUGAAUUAAACUAUUUGUUUUGAGUCGGGUUAUUUGGACCCAUGUUGGACUGGUCCGAAUAUUGGGUCAGCUUGACCCAUGAAUUUCAAGAUAAAACAGGGUUAAUUAGGGGUAAAUUGGGUAGAUCACCUAAAGAAUCUUUCAGUAACAACCUUAAGAAGCUUCUAGAAAGUUGAAAACAGCCUAGCUUGACUAACAAGUCAGAAAAUGAGGGACUUCUAAGAAAAAUUAAAAAUUAAAAAUUAAAAGGAGCUAAAAUGCAAAGCUGAAAUCUCUUGUUUAUCCUACUUUCCUUGCCUAUAACGGCAUCUUUUAUUGCCUUUCAGGGCAGACCUAAGUGAUAGAAAAGUCUGAAAAUUAAAACAACAAAAAAUUGAUAAGAAAGCUACUGUUCUAUUGAAAUUUUCUUUGAUUUUUCUUAGUUUUCAAUUGUUGAAAGUCUUUGGAAUUGGUGUUACUUGGUUUUAAUUCUCUGAAUCACUCUGCUGGUUUAAAACUUCUGGAAACUUUUGAAAAACUGAGAUCUGGUGAUAAAAAUGAGUUUGAGCUUGGGUAUCGAAAGAGCUUGGUUUGAUUUUGUAGGUUGGUUCUGUUGAGUUUCUUUUGUCUGUGGCAAUCCGAUUAUUUCAUUGUUGAGUUUGUUGAAUCCGGGGUUUUUUGUUGCUGCUCUUCUAAUUUUACUCAUAUUUUGCUUUUUGAAGGUAUUCAUCUCACUUUCUAAUGUAUGAGAAAGGAUGAACAUGAAGUUUGGUUUACUCAAGUCGAGAUUUGUAAUAAUACAGUUGUUUGUUUGAUGUUUCUGCUUUUUCGAAGUCAUCUUAUUUAUUUUAGUUUCCUUAUGUCUCCUACGAUUCUGUUUUGAAUAUGAAAUGAUGUAGUAGUACUAACUUGUUAGUUCAUUAUGCUGAUUACUAAAUGUGUAUGGAAGGUCAUGAUAAAUCCGGGGUAAGAUCUGGAAGUUGUAUGUGCUCACAAGGUUGGAUAGCUAUUUUAUUGUUGAUCAAUGUGUAGAAAUACUCCUAUAUUCAUUACUGUUGAGAGGAGCACAAUUAAAAUUAAUUGGUCAAGUAGCAGUUAGCAUAGAAUCCACGAUAAAAAGGGGAAGCAUGACUAUAUAAUUACUGUAUUUCAGUGAUGUUUCAAUGUCUAAUAUGUGAACGAUCAUCAUAUGAAUGUGGUAGGUUAUUAUAAGUAUGAAAGUUGAACUUUUUAUCUCCUUGAUUUGGAUGUAAAGGUUCAGCAAUGAGCAUGUGCAUUUAAUCUUCAAGUUCCUGUAGAUGCCCAUUUAUAGUAUUUUAUUAAUUAGUGCAUGAAGUUGUUGCAACCUAAAAUGAAUUUUGAAUGAUUGUCUAUUUAGUUCCAAUCAAUUCAAUUGUUGAGAUUGUUCAUGAUUUUGUGGUGCUUGAAUGCUCUUGUCAUUAUGUUUUUCCAAAUUUAAACAACAUUCUGCUGUUGCCCGGAUCCGAAGACGUGACCUCUUUGAUAUUCAAUUUGGGUAAUGCCUCAUGGAACUUUUGGGCUCUUCGUUGAGUCCAGAUAGGGUCACCUAUGGAACCCGUUACUUGGCAUCCUUGUGAUGUUGUUUGAGCUAUUGGGCUUCACCCUAGGUCAGGCCCCAGUUUUGAAAACUAAAGAUGGACUGGACCUUACUUCUUUUUAAUUUGGACCUAUGUUCAAGCUCAGUUGAGAUUCUAAAGUAGGUGAGAUUCUUUUAAGCGUUAUUUCAUUGAUAGAUCCUGGGCUAGUUGAGGUGUGCCACUAAAAACCAAUAAUGAUAUAUGGCUCUCAUGAAUUAGAAUAGAAACCCUUAAGCUAAAAUAAUUCGAGGCGCGCCGUGCCAAUCGAAAAUAACAAAUGCUUGACGCUCGCUUAAUUAAUUUUGAUUUAAUUCUUAGAACUCAAGGCGUGCCAUUUAGCGAAUUUUUAUGGCCCUCGCAAAAGUUUCUAGCGCGUAGUUGCUUUAGAAGCGUUACUUUAAUAACUUACCUUCCUAAACUCGGGUGCGCAUUUAUGUGACCCAAAUCCAUAUCUCAACGUUAAAUAAAAUGUGUUGCAAACUGCGGGUGCAUUUAUGUGACGUGGUUUAAGACAUAUUUUAAAUGACAUUGUAAUUUUCCUUAAAAAUAAUUAAAUAAAGCUGUUAAAAAUUAAAAUUGCACAUAGGUUCAAUAAUAUUUUAAAUCAGAUAAAUAGGCCAAUAAUAGCAGUUGAGCGACCGUGCUAGAAUCACAGAACUCGGGAAUACCUAACACCUUCUCCCGGAUUAUUAGAAUUCCUUACCCGAAUUUCUGGUUCGCGGACUACAAUACAGAGUCAACCUUUUCCUCGAUUCGAAAUUUGAACCGGUGACUUGGGACACCAUUAAACUAUCCCGAGUGGCGACUGUGAAUUUUAAUAAAUAAAUCCUGUUUUGGUUGAUUCUUUAAUUUGAAAAAAAAUCUCCUUUCUAUGCCCUUCACUGGGUUUAGUAAAAAAAGGAGGUGUGACAACUCUGGUGACUCUGUUGGGGAUCGAACCCAGAAUCUCUAAUUUCGCAAUUCAAGAAUUCGAGCUUAGAAUAAUUGUUAUAUUUGGCUCUAUUUAUUGUCUGAUUUUAUUACAUGUUUGGGCCUAAUGUUCUAAAUGUUUCUUUUACCGCUUUGAUAUCAUCUGAACUAUAUAUAGAUUGCUAUGAAACCCCUCUCUUCUCUCUCUUGAGGAGUGCAUGCUGGUCGUGACUUAUUUCUGUUAGUGUCAUAUUCCCAAAUAGAAUGAGGUUCGGGCAAGUUGCAAAGCCAGAUGAUCUUUUGGUUACUGGUACGCAACCCCCUCCCCCCUCCCCCUUAGUGGAUCCAACUUAUUAAUCAUAAUGCACAAUCCAUGAAUAAACACAAUUUCAUAUGUACAAACUUAUUAAAAAAAUGCAUGAGUUCAAAUAAGCAAAGUAUUUUAGUGGUAACUAUUUAUUACUCACAAAAUUAUCAAUUUAUAAGUGAAGAUACAUAUAGAUUGUGAGCAUGUGAUUUUUACCUGGUAUGAAUUACUCCUACAGAACUCCCAAAAAUUAAGAUUUUUCUUUUAAUUAUUUUUUUUGGAAUCACUGUAUGAUUUUUGUGCUUGUUUGCAUUUUUGCGUGCAUAUUUAAUUUAGGCAAUUCAUGAAAAAAUAAAAAAAUACAUUGCAUUUGCAUUUGAGAUCUAAUUUUUUAUUUUUUAGGAUAAUUAGUUAUUUAAUGUUACAAAAAUAAAAAAAUAACAAAUAGCUCUUUUGCAUUUUUUACUAUUUAAAAAUUUAAAUUUAUUAGAGUUUUCCUUAAUUUAGGACUUAAUUGAUUUUUGAGAAGCAAUUCUUUAUUAAUUUAAUUUUUGGGUUUAAAUUGGAUUUUUAUAUUCUUAUUUGUCUAGAACAAAUAAAGUCAGGUUUUAAACCUACUGUAGCAAGACCUUAUGCCAGAUACCUAGUAGGAACGUUUGUCUGCAUGAUGUGCAUUUUGACUUUGCAGACUCGAUACAGGGGCCGGGUCUGUCUAGGACAGGUGUACCCGAAAUAAAAAGACCAUCCUGAUGCAUCUUACUUGCUACUUGUGCAUUUAUUUCCUUCGGAUUUACAUGCUAACCGGAUUUUGAAUAAAAUGAGAGAGUUUUGAAAAGAAAAUAGCAAUGUGAGGGCUAAGGAAGGUAAUUACCUGUUUUGAAAACCAAUAUCCCAAAAUAUACUGAAACUCUGCCGAAAUAUUUUAAAAAAGAGAGUUUUUAUUGUUUUCAAGAUGUUUUUUCAAAAUUUCCCGAACUGCGCCAGUUUGAUUCUCACCAGAUGUGGGAUACGUAGGCAACCCUCAUCCGGUCCAACUUCCCUUUUUGAAAAAUAGCCUAAAAAGAAAAAAAUUAUUUUUAUUUGAAAAUAAUUAAGGUGAUUCCAUUCUCAUAAAAAAUAGCCGAAUGUCCCCAAAAAGGCGUCGAAAGGCUGCUUUUGCAAGAAUAGCCGCCUUUGGUCAUUUUUCAAGGUUUUGGCAAGUUAGCCAUCACAACCUUAAAAUUUUCGUCCUCGAGGUGCUGAAAGGCCGUAUUUGAAAAACCGAAUUUUUAUUUUUAAUUUGAAAAAAAGAGAAACAGUGUUAAAUUUGUUUUUGCAUCAAAUGCAUUUUGAUUUUGCUUAAUCACCCUAAUAAAUGUACAAAAUGAGUACAAGUCCAAGUCAAUACAGUCAGGAACAAGAUCUAUUUGGAGUUACAAAUGUGGUGGGACAAUUUGGGAAAAUCAGAGCAAGAUAAGGUCAAUCUACAUUUUGUGAGGUGUUACCGGGUUUUUAAGGAUCAAACGUAGAGGAGAUGUCAUAAAGGCUUUGGUUACGUUUUGGAAACUGGGCCAUAAUGUAUUUCACUUCUCGGAUUUUGAACUCACCCCAACCUUGGAAGAGAUAGAAGGUUAUAUGGAAAGUACUGAAGGACUGAGGCAUAAGUAUCUGAUCGCUCCAAGAGCCGUUAACUCUCACAAAUUCAUGGAUUUGCUAAAUCUAAUCAAGGGAGUCCCAUACUCCUAGUUGGAGGGUGGUUUUUUUGCUCUACAUUACGGGGGUGUAGGAGGGUUCAACAAUCCGAAAAGUGGGGUUUGUAGCAAAGGGAAGCGAACAAAAUGGGAUGAGCAUAUACGUUUCGCUUUCAUGGUAGCUUUCUUAGGCCUUGUGGUGUUUCCCUAAAAAGAUGGGAAUAUUGAUCUGGGGGUGGUUGGAGCUGUCAAAGUCUUUAUUACUAAUGCCAAGAGCACCAUUGCCCCUAUAAUAGUAUCUGAGAUAUACCGAGCUCUCACAGGUUGUAAAGCUGGGGCAUAUUUCUUCGAGGGAUGCAAUUUGCUAUUACAGAUGUGGAUGAUCGAGCACUUGUGUCAUCACCCUCAGUAAAUGAGAUAUGGAUCCAUAGAGAAAAGUUACAUUGAAAAGUUUGACACAAGGAUUUCAAGGUUCAAGCUACCAGAGGGGUUUAGAGAUUGGGUAUCCCGCCUUCGCUCCAUCACUACGGGACAAAUAGAAUGGACACUUGGUUGGCUUCCUGUUGAAGAAAUUGUGUAUAUGCCCGCCACUGGUCCUUACUUCCUCCUAAUGGGUCUUCUAGGUAUAUAUGCUCCCUACCGGGUGAUGAGACAAUCGAUAAGGUGUCAGAUGCACCCAAACGAAGAUCUUAGUGUUUAUGUGGUCGAGGUUAGCUCCGAUGGCCAAUUUCAUGAAGAAACAAUUCGUUCUAUUUGGAACGAGUGCCAGUAUUUGAUGGUGAACACUCGAGUGCGUGACCCAUCUAGAAGUGAGGUUUCACCACCUAUCUUGCCUGGCAUAGAAAGAAGAACAUUGUAAGGGACGAAUUAGAAAGACCAACCAAAAAGCCUCACAUUCAGGAAUUCGUUGAGGCAUCGUAAGAAUAGUGGGCUUGGUUGGCCAAGGAGAAUGUGUACAGGGCCACGAUAGGAAAGUUGGAAAAACAAGUCAAUGAACUUCAAUUCGAGAAUAGCUUGCAAGCCGCAACAGAUGAAGGAGAAAAGAAAAAAGCUAGCCAAAGGGAAUGAAGCCCUUCGAGCCCAGAUUCAGAAAAUGAAAAUAGCGGCAAAAAAUCCCACUAGAAGUAUAAAAGAUGAGAAGCUCAUAGACAAUCUUAGGUGGAAGGUAGGGGAAUAUGGUUUUGACCUGAACAAAGUAGAGGGUGAACUAGUGAGGGCCCAAAAUCAAUUGGCCAAAAAUGCGAAAGGACGAGUACGCCUGAUUGAUCAAUUGAAAGAAAAGUACAACAACGAGGUUGCGGGAUUGAAGUAAAGGGUCAUCACCGUUGUAACCAAAAUGGUUAAGUAGGCGACGGACUUUAACACUAAAAGAGAGUACUGUUACACAGCCAUAGCACACUAGAAAGAGAUUUGCACCGAUGUCAAGAACUAAAUCAGGUAGCUGAACAAACUUUGGAAGCCAAGGCCCAGCAGAUUGGGCGAUUGUUGCAAGAAAAGGGUGUCACAAGAGAGAGAGAGAGAGAGUCCGAAGGAUCGGUGAUUAAAUCGCAAUAAAGUGCAGUGGUUGUGAAUAUAUGACUAGAUACAUAUUUUUUGCUGCUGCAAUGACCUUCAUCCGCCAGGUAAUGGAAGACCUCCACCAUCUCUAAGGGGAUUUAGCAUGCAGGCUCGUGGCGAGACCGAAUGAUAUCCCGCGGGCCCCAGGAUCAUUAGAGGCACUAAUGUAUUCAUGAUUUUUACUGGAGUCUGUUAGUCAAUUUGUGAAGUCUGUAUUUCUUUUGUUGAAGUCUGUUAGGUACUGUUGUUUUCGGAGUCUGUUGGUCUUGUUCUGAGUUGGAGUCUAUUAAUUUCUCUUCUCGGGUCUGUUAGUUUUAUAAUUUGGUGGUUGUAAUUCAAACUAUUUUACUUUAUGAAAAUUUAAAAUCCCAAAAAAUAUUUUAUUUUAUUUUCUACACUUAUCUUACAGAACUACGCUUGCGGGAUCAUGAUAUAUAAACAAUCUCCAUAGAAUUUGACCAUAACCAAAAGAAAAGGGAAAAGUAAAAAGAAAAUAGCGAAAGAAAAGAGAGGAAAAAUAAGAAACCAUGAGAGGGAAACAAUGGCAAAAUAAAAGAGAAAAAAUACAACAAAGAAAAUCAAGCAAAAACAAGCUAAAUAAAAGGAACAAAAGAGAGAAAAAAAGAAAAACAAAAGAGAAGAAGAAAAGGAGAAGUUGUAUAUGGACAUGGGGAAAAGUCGGGAUGAUGCAAACAGCCGAGCAAAGGCAUAACAGAAACCAAUAACUGCCUAGGUGCAUUCAUCCUUAAAUAUGUGGUUGCCUAUCUGUUAAACCCUGACCCUAACAAGUUUGUUGUUGUCUAUCCAAUUACAGGAACAUGGUUAGUUUUGUGGAAUUAUAGCAACUCACCCCUACAACACCCGCUCCAAUAGUAGGUUAACCAUGGCCAACCAAGAGCUUGAUAUAAGUAUCAUCGACCCCUCAAGAGAGGUGGAAGAGUUGGAUGUCAAUGCAAUGAAAGAAGAGGUGUAUAAACUGAAACAACAAAUGGCUGAAAUGUACCAAGCAUUGUUAAAAGGGCAACCACUACUAGCUUUUCCCGCCUUUAGCCCAGUGGCAUGAUCAUCCUACCACCGACCCGUCCACAAGCUUUUUUAUCUACCAACACUACCAGGGCACAACUUCCCAGACACCACCAGCUCCACCACCCAAACCAGUUGUAUAUCCUGCCCCACCAGUUGCUCCUAUAUUCGUGGCACCCCCACCCGCUACACUCCACAUAUCUUCCAGCAAACAUUUGUUCCAAACCCAUGACAACCAAUAUUACACCCUGAAGCUUACUCUUAUAGCCCCGGAACCCUAUUCAUACACUCCUCAUUUUGAUCUCCCUGUAGAAGUUGAGAAACCAUCCAAAAAUCCCGAACAGGAGGAGAUGUUCAGGAAAGUUAAAAGCUUAGAACAAUUAUUUAGAGACAUGAGGGGGUUCGGAGGUCAAAUAAGUUCGACAUACAAAGAUCUAUGUUUGUUUCCAGAUGUGCAAUUGCCGACAGGGUGUAAGAUGCCCAAAUUUGAUUUGUACGAUGGACACGGUGAUCCAGUAGUACACUUGAGAGGGUUUUGCAGCAAAAUGAGGGGAGCUAGAAGGAAAGACGAGUUGCUAAUGGUAUAUUUCAGUCAAAGUCUAAGCAGUUCAGUAUUGGGAUGCUAUAUUCGGCAAGACCAUGGAAGGUGGUAUACGUGGGAUGAUCUAGCCCAGGCAUUUACUUGCCACUUCCAGUAAAAUCUUGAAAUUAUUCCGGAUUGUUUGUCCUUGACAAAACUUGAGGACAAGCACAAUGAGAGUUUUAGGGAGUAUGGAUUCCGUUGGAGAGAGUAGGCAGCGAGGGUCGACCCUCCAAUGAAAGAAAGAGAAAUGGUGGAUUACUUCUUGCAGGCCUUGGAGCCUACUUAUUUCAAUCACUUGGUAUCGGCUGUGGGCAAGUCCUUUAAUGAAGUGGUAAAAAUGGGAAGCGUGGUAGAGGAGGGGCUCAAGUCUAACAAAAUCGUGAGCUAUUCAGCAAUCAAAGCAACCACCCACGCAAUUCAAAGUGGAACUAGGGGAGCGAUUAGAAAGAAAAAGAAAUAGGAGGUAGCAACGAUCGAUUCAGGAGCUUGGUUCAGAUCCAGGGGUUCAUCACAUUACAACCACCCUCGACCCCACCACCAAACCUACCCCCACACUCCAUAUAGCCCACCACAACACUACUACCCACCUUCAGACCCCCAUUUUUCUGUACAUCAUGCACAAACACACACUAAACCCCCCCGCCCACGCAUAAUAACGUGUGCUAACCCCAAAAAAUAUGAACCCAGCUCCACCAAAUGCCUAUCCACCUCCAAGAGCCUAACAAAACCCCUCGAGGCCAACUUUUCGGGCCAACCAAGCCUUUAAGAAUGAGAGGUUGCAGAAGAAGAAAACCUUCACUCCAUUGGGACCUAUACUAGCUUAUUCCACAGGUUGAGACAGUUAGAUCUAACACACACUAAACCCCCCCGCCCACGCAUAAUAACGUGUGCUAACCCCAAAAAAUAUGAACCCAGCUCCACCAAAUGCCUAUCCACCUCCAAGAGCCUAACAAAACCCCUCGAGGCCAACUUUUCGGGCCAACCAAGCCUUUAAGAAUGAGAGGUUGCAGAAGAAGAAAACCUUCACUCCAUUGGGAGAAUCCUAUACUAACUUAUUCCACAGGUUAAGAUAAUUAGAUAUGUUGAGGCCGAUUGAAGCAAAGUUGCUGGAUCCUCCCCCGAGGAAUCUUGAUUAUUCGGUCAGUUGCGAAUAUUGUUUCGAUGCUCCAGGACAUGACACAGAGAAAUGUUGGCAUUUGAAAAAUUCUAUACAGGAGCUCUUUGAUUCACAUCGGAUUGACGUACAAGCUCCGGAAGCACCCAAUAUUAACCAGAACACACUGCCAACCUAUCAAGAAACGAACAUGAUUGAGAUAGUGCACAAAGAAGGGGAGCCCAAAAAGCCUUCGCAAACCAUCAUGAUGAUCCGAGCCAAUGAUAGGAAAACAGUUGAAAAACUAACAAGCGAGAUGUCAAUGGUCAAGUUGAGUGAAUAAGUAGUGAGCCUUUUGCCGUAAUCAAGAAGGGGUCCCCAGAAGAUGCGAUAGUGAAACAAGAAAAUGCAAAGGUGGUGGUACAGGGGUUGCUGACCCUUGGAUUUGUGACAGUCACAUACAAAGGGAAAGAGGUUAGAGAAGAAGUCUGCGAGACCAAUACCCAUUCAGGGGGAGGGGUGCUUUGCCCCUGAGGAGUUGAGAAAACCUAAAAUCUACAAAGAUAGCCCAAUAUUGGUGAAUAAAUCUAUGAAUGAAGAAGACGCAGAGGAGUUUUUGAAAAAGAUGAAGGAGCAAGACUAUUCAAUUUUGGAACAAUUGAGGAAGACACAUGCUCAAAUUUCACUGUUAUCAUUAUUAAUCCAUUCGGAUGAGCAUCGUGGAGCACUAAUGAAGAUCCUAAACGAGACAUACGUCCCUGAAAAAAUCUCAGUCAAUCACUUGGAAAAGAUAGCCAGCAAGAUUUCGAGGUAAACAACGUCACUUUUUCUAAUGAUGAAUUGCCCGUAGAAGGUACUGAGCACAAUAUAGACCUUUAUCUUACGACAAAGUGCAAAGAUUUUGUGGUUACCCGGAUACUGGUCGACAAUGUCUCAAGUGCGAAUAUUUUCACUCUCUCCACUUUGAACAAGCUGAAAGUGGAUGAUGAAAGAGUUCACAAGAACAGUAUUUGCAUGUGAGGGUUCGACGCCGGAGGGAACGAUUUGGUCGCCAACAUAGUACUCGAGUUGACAAUCGGACCAGUUGAUUUUACUAUGGAAUUCUAGGUGUUAGGCAUGGCUGUCUCUUACAACCUCUUGUUGGGUCAACCCUAGAUUCAUGCCGGCAAAGCGUUCCCCUCUACUCUGCAUAAAAUUGUAAAUUUUGAAUGGGAUAGACAGGAAAUAGUUGUGCACGGCGAGGAUAAUCUGCAUGCCCAUAAGGAUGCAAUUGUACCGUUCAUUGAGGCUGAGGAUGACAAAGGGCCUUGGAUAUAUCAGGUUUCGGACAUGGUAUCGGUAAUGAAAAUUCUAGAAGGGGGGUGCGUUAAUGCCGAAGAUAGCUACUGCAUCAGUCAUAGUAGCCGUUGAAAUGUUGAGAAAUCAUUUUAUCCUAGGGAAGGGUUUGGGAGCGUCGUUGCAAGGUAUCGUACAACCGGUGUCUCUCCCCAAAAACAUGGACACCUUUGGUUUGGGUUCAAGCCCCCAAUUGCAGACGUGAAAAUUGCCACAAAGAUGAAGCAGAAAGUGGGCCCUUCCAAAGCCUAUUCCACAUCUCGUCAGGUUAUUUGUUAGGCCAAACACUAAGAAGCGCCCAUCAACAACAAAUCACAAUUAUAUGGUUGGUCCUGAUAAGGAAUUGUUUGAAAAUUUGUUUGAAGAUGUGAUGGUGGACGUUGGAGAGGGUUCUAGGAAGGCAGAUGUGUAGUUUGUUGGGCCCAGUGCAAAGAUCAACAAUUAGGAAGCUACUCCUCUCCCGACCAAAAUGGAGUUUUGGUAGUUUGCUUUGAUUUUCUUUUUAUCUGGAUUAUUCCAGGGUUGUAAUUCAGAUUCUACGUUCCGUACAUUUAUAUGUAUAAACCUUAUUAUCUUUCAAUUUCAAUGAAAUGCAAUUUCCCUUUUCAUUUCUGAUAGUUUUUAUUUUCUGUGCUUCUCUUUUCUUUCUUGUACAGUUCUUUUUAUGCUGAUUUCUAUGACAUGACAUGCAUAUGGAGUCUUCGGCCCAGUCUCGAGAGCCGGUCUAAUUGUGAAAUAAUAAUUCUAGAGAUAGAAUAUGAUGAUGAAUUAGAGUAUGAUGAGGGUGGGGACUUUGAAGAAAUUAGUAAAGAAUUACUCCACUUUGAGGAAAAACCCAAACCAAACCUUAGCGAUACAAAAGCAAUAAAUCUAGGAGACCCAGUUAAUAUCAGAGAAACUAAAAUAAGUGUCCAUCUUGAAACACAUCUUAGGGAAGAGAUAAUCAAAGAAUUUCUUGAAUACAAAGAUAUUUUUGCAUGUCAUAUGAUGACAAGCCGGGUCUAAGCACUGACUUGGUAGUUCACAAAUCACCCACCGAUCCGGCAUGCCCUCCCGUCAAACAGAAGUUAAAGAAUUUUCAGACUGGCAUGAGCGUAAAGGUCAUUCAAGUCACACAGUAUCCCACCUGGUUAGCCAACGUUGUGCUUGUACUAAAUAUGAUGGUAAGACAAAGGUGUGUGUUGAUUACCGUGAUCUCAAGAAGGCGAGUCCAAAGGAUAACUCCCCACUUCCAAAUAUCCACAUAUUGAUUGAUAAUUAUGCAAAACACGAGAUUGGUUCUUUUGUGAAUUGUUACGCGGGCCAUCACUAGAUCUUAAUGGAUGAGGAAGAUGCGGAAAAAACGACAUUCAUUAUGCUGUCGGGAAAGUACUACUAUAGGGUCAUGCCUUUCGGUCCGAAAAAAUGUUGGGGAAACUUACAUAAGGGCAAUGACAACCAUAUUCCACGAAAUAAUACACAAGAAGAUCGAGAUUUAUAUGGAUGAUGUAAUUGUAAAGUUCCGGAAGCAGUCUGACCACAUCAGAGAUCUGAGAAAAUUCUUCCAAGGACCCCGCAGGUACAAUCUUAAGCUUAAUCUUGCGAAAUGUGCAUUCAAUAUUCCAUCUGGAAAACUGUUGGGCUUCAUAGUCAGCUGCUGAGGUAUUGAAUUGGACCCAUUAAAUAUCAAAGCUAUCCAAGAAUUGGCACCUCUUAGAAACAAGACUGAGGCGAUGAGUCUGUUGGGGAGAUUGAAUUACAUCAACAGGUUUAUUGCUCAGCUCAUGACAACUUGUGAGCUCAUCUUCAAGUUGUUAAAAAAGGAUGCUGCGGUCAAGUGGAUGAAAGAAUAUCAAGAAGCAUUUGAUAAGAUAAAGGGGUACUUGUCAAACCCAUAUGUGUUGGUCCCGCCAGAACUGGGGAGACCUUUGAUUUUGUAUUUGACGGCGUUGGACAAUUCAUUUGGUUGUGUGUUGGUUUAGCAUGAUAUCACCGGCAGGACGGAGCAUGCCAUAUACUACCUUAGCAAGAAGUUCAAAUCUUAUGAGAUUAAGUAUACUCAUCUUGAGAGGACAUGCUGCGCCCUAACUUGAGUAGCACAGAAGUUGAAACAUUAUUUGUCCUCUUAUACUACUUACCACAUUUCUCGCUUUGAUCCGUUGAAGUAUAUCUUUCAGAAGCCUAUGCCCAUAGGGAGGCUUGCAAAGUGGUAGAUCCUGCUCACAGAAUUUGACAUAGUCUAUCUGACUUGGACUACGAUGAAAGCACAUGCAUUGGCUAACCAUUUGCAUGCAUUGGCUAACCAUUUGGCCGAGAACCCGGUGGAUGAAGAAUAUAGAACUUUGAAGACAUUCUUCCCGAAUGAGGAGGUGAUACAUAUUGAUGACUUGGAACAUGCCAAAAAGCCAGGAUGGAAACUUUUCUUUGAUGGGGCUGCCAAUAUGAAAGGCGUUGGGAUAUGAGCAGUACUUAUUUCUGAAAUAGGGAAUCAGUACCCUGUUACAGCUCAACUUCAUUUCUAUUGCACUAAAAACAUAGUGGAAUAUGAGGUUUGCAUUUUGGGUCUGAGGUUAGCUGCAGACAUGGGUAUCCAGGAAGUCUUGGUCUUGGGGGACUCGGACCUUCUAGUGCACCAAAUUCAAGGGGAAUGGGAAACACGAGAUUUGAAGAUCAUACCGUACCAGUAAUGUUUGUAUGACCUUUGUCAACCAUUUCGAUCAGUAGAGUUUAGGCAUAUUCCGAGAAUCCACAACGAGGUUGCUGAUGCUUUGGAUACUUUGGCAUCGAUGUUACAUCAUCCAGAUAAGGCUUAUGUUGACCCGCUACAUAUCCAAGUCCAUGAUUAACAUGGUUACUAUAAUGUGGUGGAAGAGGUACUCAAUGGUGAACCUUGGUUUCUCGAUAGCAAGGAAUAUAUCAGGAUGGGGGUAUAUCCAGUGCAAGCCAGAAGUGAUCAAAAGAGAACAAUUCAUCAUUUAUCAAGUGGAUUUUUCUUUAGUGGAGGGGUAUUGUAUAAAAUAACACGAGAUCUUGGGUUGUUGAGAUGCAUAGAUGUUAGAUAGGCGUUGGCCAUCAUGACCGAGGUACAUUCCGGAGUUUGUGGACCGCAUAUGAGUGGAUUUAUUCUGGCAAAGAAGAUUCUCCGAGCAAGUUAUUAUUGGCUAACCAUGGAGCGAGAUUGUAUCAGUUUUGUGCGCAAAUGUCAUCAAUGUCAGGUGCACGGAGAUUUGAUUCAUUCCCCACCUUCUGAAUUACAUACAAUGUCUGUACCAUCGCCUUUCGUUGCUUGGGGCAUGGAUGUUAUUGGGCCCAUCGAGCCACCAACGUCCAAUGGGUACAGGUUCAUUCUGGUGGCCAUUGAUUAUUUCACUAAGUGGGUUGAAGCUAAAACUUUCAAGUCUGUGACCAAGAAAGCCGUGGUCGAUUUUGUGCAUUCAAAUAUCAUCUGCCAAUUCAGGAUCCCGAAGGUAUUCAUCAUGGAUAAUUCUGCGAAUCUCAAUAGUCAUUUGAUGAAAGAGGCAUGUCAGCAGUUUAAGAUUACACAUCACAAUUCCACUCCAUAAAGCCCCAGGAUGAAUGGAGUAGUCGAGGUAGACAACAAGAACAUAAAGAAGAUACCUCGAAAAUGGUAGAGGGUUUCAGACAAUGGCACGAGAAGAUUCUCUUCGCAUUAUUGGGUUGCCGCAUUACUAUUCAUAGUUCAGUAAGGAAAACUCCUUAUCUGUUGGUAUAUGGCACAGAAGUAUUGAUACAUGCAGAGAUCGAAUCCCAUCCCUUCGGAUUGUCACUGAGGCCGAAAUGAUGAUGACAAAUAGGUCAAAACCCGCCUGGAGCAAUUGAUUUUGAUUGACAAGAAAGGAUUAGCAGUAGUGUGUCAUGGCUAGUUAUAUCAACAGAGAAUGGCAAGAGCAUAUACCAAGAAGGUGCGCUCCCGGAGGUUUGAAGUGGGUCAGUUGGUAUUGAAACGUAUCCUUCCUCAUCAGGUAGAGGCAAGGGAAAAUUUCUCCCCGAAUUGGCAGGGGCCAUUCAUCAUGAUGAGAGUGUUGUCCAAUGAGGCUUUGUAUUUAACAGAUGUAGAAGGCAUGUGUGUAGAAAUGACCAUCAAUUUCGAUGCGGUCAAGAGAUACUAUGUAUGAUUUUCUUUGGUUAAAUUGUAUUUGUUUGUACGUGGAAUAUUUUGAAGAUUGGAAUGAUGAAGGCAUUUAGUUCUGCUAUCUAAACAAUUUAUCCUUUGUUACCCCCUUUGAGCCUUAUUUGAUUUUUUUCAUUUCCCUCUUUCGGAAUCAGUAGCAAAAUCAGAAGCGUAAGCUGGAAAGACAAGUAAAGGAAAGAGUAAAGAGAAUAACGAAUAGAGAAAAAAGAAAUAGAAAAAAAAAAGAAAAUAAGUGAAGAAAAGAGAAGAAAAGGAAAAGGAAAAACAACAAAACAACAAAAGAGAAAAAGAAGAAAGAAAAGAAUCGAAAAAAGAAGAAGAAAAGAAAAAUCACGACAACAAUGCAAUUUCUAUGACGUGAACUACAUUCGAACUGAUUCCUCUUAAAGAUACACAGGUAGCCUCACGGUUUGGUCCUAUCAAAAUAAAAUCCAAAAUUCCCCAAGCAAGAAAUUGGGGCAGAAAUUGUGGUUGUUGUAGGAAAUCUAAUUUUGCAAGUUGUAAUUUUGAACACAUUGAAUUGUUUCGAGCCUUUGAUACCCUUUCUUUAUAACCCUAUCCAAAAUCGCACAUUACGGUCCAAAGAAAGACCUUCCAAUUAGUCUUCGAGAGAUGCCAGUCAGGCGAGUAGAGGUGAAUUAUAUAAGGGGAAAUACUCCAGUCCAAACAAGGAAAAUGAAAAAAUGAGAGUCUUAUCGAUGAAAACCUUCACGGCUCUGUAAGGCGACGAGAGUUGAGAGAAAUAAAAAAAUGAGAGUCUUAUUGGUGAAAACCCUCACGGACAGCGUAAGUCAACGGGAGUUGAGAGAAAUUAAAAACAAGAGAUCCUUUUUAGUGAAAACCUUCACGGGUACUGUAAGGCGAUAGUGAGUUGAGGAAUAACAAAGGAGAGAAGUUAGUUGGUGAAAACCUUCCGGUUCACCGCAGGAUGAACAAGGUCAAGGUUUGGCUGAAGAAAUCGGGUUAUUGAAUUUCGGGAAACAAAUCAUGGAAACUAAGAAUCAAUUGGUUGGACAGAUUUUUGGCCGAUUAAUUUGAAAUAAAUGUCAUGAUCAUUGGUACCAGCUGUUUCACACAGAUAAGUAUCCUUUUUUAGCAGUCAUCCAGUUUUGGAUUCUUCUUAUCCUUAACACUUAAAGUCAUUGCAUUUCAUUUUCUUUUGGGUUUUUUAUUUCUCUAAGAUGUUUCAAGGUUAAUUUUGUUUAAGCAAGUAAGAAAGGAUUUCAAAGCUUAUUACCAGCUCCCAAGAGUGCAAAGCACAAUGUGGCUAAAACAUACCAAAGACAGCAUGCUGUAAAGUGGGGUAUAAAGAAUAACCGGAAGCUUCAUCGGUGGAAUGAUUUGGUAAUUUCAAUAGAGAUGCAAAGAUUCCGUUAAAGGGGUUAGGGAUGUAAUACAACGGCUUGGGUACAGAACACUCAGCUCAUCCAAGUUCAUGGGGGUUUGAAAGUAAGUCAGAAAGUCAGGCGGUUCAGGGCCAGUUUGGGGAAUCUUGUCAAAACAAAGCAUGACAGCAGGAAGCCCACUUUCAGCAAGAAUGCCACAAACUCACCACUAUAUUUCAUAUUGACAAAAUUUUCUUUGAUUGAAACUGUAAAGACCCGACCAGUCGUUUUGAGAUUUUGCCCCUUGAUCGUCAGUUCUCAGGCAUGACAUUCCCCAUGUAGUGUAUUAUGGCUGAUAAUGAUUGUUGGUUUUGAUUGCAAGAAAAUUUGGAAUGAAUUUGGAAGAACAAUUUCAGUUGAAAGCUUGGAAUUUGAAAUGUUUGACUAAAGAGUUGACUUAUUCGUAUAUGAGCUCAGAUCAAAAUUUUAUGAUUUGGUUAGAUUCGUUGGAUGAUUUAUGACUUAGGAGUAUGAUCAGAAUUGGUUUUGGAGGACUAGUGUGGAAUUUGGCUUGAAUUGAUAAAGUUAGUAUUUUGCCGAUUUUAGGUUGGUAGCUGAGAUUUUGAUCUGAGGGUCGGAAUGGAAUUCCAAGAGUUGCAGUAUAUUUAUUAGGUAUUUGGAAUGUGUGUAAAGUUUCAGAUCAUUCGGACAUCGUUUGGUGGAGUUUUUGAUCGAAAGCGUAUUUCGGAAGUUUUUGGAAACUUAGGCUAAAAUUUGAUGCGUUUUGGGUAAUUGGAUGUUGUUUGAGGUAUUUUGAUGAUUGAGACAAGUUUUAGUAAUGUUAUGGGAUAUAUUGGCGUGUUUAGUUGAGGUCAUGAGGGCCUCGGGUGGUCAAUCGGACCACUUUGUGCCUUAAAAGCUAGUUGAAAACUACACGUUCAGAGUUGCAGGAUUUUUGUUCUCUGUGAUCGCAUAAGAGAUCUUGCGACCGCAUAUGAGGAUUUGUGGCGGUUAUUCUGUUGUUCAUUGCGUUCUCAUAGUAUCUUGCAAUCACAUAGUUUAGGGAAAAUGUUCUUCGCGAAUGCGGUUGAGGCAUCACGAUCACAUAGAGUAAAGUGGACCUAAGGUAUUGAACGGGGAGUGUGGUCUGCGAUCGCAUUGUGUACGUUGGCAGUGCAUUGCGUUCGCAAGGCAUACGUCAUGUUCGCAUAGAGUUAAUUGUGGGAGGUGAAGGUUUGUUCUUCGCGAUUGCGAGGAAUGUUCCGCGAUCGCAUAGAAGAAAAUACCCCUGGGUAGAAUGUCUUUAAAAUCAUAUUGUUCGCAAAUGUGGAUCUAUUUUCACCAAUGGAUACACGUUUUUGGAAGUUUUUAAAGGAAAUUAAAGAUGAAUUCAAGAGGAAUAGACUUGAGGUAAGAAUCUUGGUGUUAAAACUCGAUUAUAUUGUGAAAUCCACCUAGAAAUUCAUAAAAGUUUAGCCAAAAAUGGAAGAGCUCGGGCUUGGAAUUUUAAAUUGGAAUUUGAGGGGUCAUUUGGACUCUGAUUUUGUUGUUCUUUAUAUGCAUAAACUCUUGGCGAGAUAAGGAACCCGUUGAUGUAAAAUUUUUUGAGUUUUUAAAGAAGUGGGAAUGGGGCUCGGGUCUUGGUAAUUUCAAAAUUUAUGCCCGUUAUUAAAUGUUUCCGCUUGGGUUUUGUUUCCUUAGCAUAUUGUGAUGUAUUCGCUCUGAUUUUGGAUAGAUUCGACGCGUGUGGAGGCUGACUUGAGGGGCAAAGGUGUUGCGAGCUAGAGAUUUUGCCGGUUUGAGGUGAGUAAUGAUUGUAAAUGAUGUUCUGCGGCUUUGAAACCCCGGAUUGCACAUCAUAGUGCCAUAUUAAGGUGACUUGCAUGCCGGAUAGUGAGCAUGGGGUAGAGAAUCCUGGAGUGGGGUAGAGAACCAUUGGGGAUUGUGACUCGGUCCAUCCCGAUGGAUCAUUUUACUUUGUAUUUGACUGAAACUUAUUUGUUGUCAUCAUGACUUGGGUUGAUUGCCAUAUUUCGGCUUCGUGCCAACUAUUUGAACGCCUUCGGGGAUGAUUGUUGAUAUUUCCUCACUAUUUUGAUUUUAUACUUGAACUCUGUCAUAUAUUUUUCACUAUUUUCAAAACUCAACCAAGCUUACUUUGCUUUAAUAAUUGAAAUGAUAUUUCCAAUAAUAUUUUUGGGCUGAGCAUCAUGUUUUACUAUUGCCCGAGGGGCUUGCGUGAUUUAUGAUCGAGUAAGGUUGAGGGCCUAUGUGGUGAGGAUACUUUUGGAACGGGCUGCACGCCGCAGCAGUGAGAUACUGAUAUGAUAUGAGGCCGAGGGCCUAGAUUUGAUGUCAUGAAUGGCUUGGUAUUGUGCUUGGGACGUAAGGGGCCCCUUCCGGAGUCUGUACACUUGCAGUGAGCGCCGUCAACGAUAAAUGGAUCGGGCUGCACACCGCAACAGUAUAUGGAUCGGGCUGCGCGGCGCAGUGGUACCGAUACUAUUUUAUGUGUUUACUUAUUUAAUUGUAUGCAAUUAUCUAUAAUUGUGCUAUUUAAUGUUUUAUGGCAUUUUAUGUUGACUGAGUGUUGCGCCCGAGGGGCGGAUUUAUGUUCGUAUUUGCGCUAACUUUUUUGCAUAACUGUUCGAAAAAGUCAUUUUCAAAAGAGGUUUAAACUGGGUUCAGAUGUCUUCUAAAGAUUUUACACCUUCAUUGCUUUCUCAAGGGGGUUUUAUAUUGCUUCUAUACAGCAUGAUGAUUUGCUUUACGUGAUUUCUUACUGCUAAGUUAUUAUUUACCUUUAUUUCUCACUGAGUUGGAGUACUCACUUUACUCCCUACACCUCGUGUGCAUUUGCAGGCAUUUGCUCCCACGGUAGCAGGUUUUGAGCCGAUCAGAGGCCAAGUUAUCGGAGAUUAGCGAGGUGACUACCCGCGUUCGCAGCACCGCAUUUCAUCCUUUUGUUUGUCAGUUCUAUUUUGCUUACUUCAGGACUUAUAAUUGUAUUUAUACUCUAAUAGAUGCUCGUGACUUGUGACACUCCGAUUUGGGCUGUGUUUGGGUUGUAUUCCGCACUUAAUAAAGAAAGCUUUUGCUUAAAUUGUGUUAUUUAAUUAUGCUAAAACUGUUUACAAAUACUAACUAUUCUGAAAAGGCAAAAAUGGGUUUGUUUGCUGGCCUUGUCUUCACGAGAGGUGCCAUCACGACCUUAUCGGGGUUUGGGUCGUGACAAGUUGGUAUUAGAGCCUAGGUUACUAGGUCUAACGAGUCUUGAGAAGGUUUAGUAGAGUCUCGAGGAUAGGUACAGAGGCCUCUGUAUUUAUCCUCGAGAGGCUGCAAAACCCUUUAGGAAAACUCUCAUUCUUGAAUUCUUAUUGUGCGUCCUUGAUUCAGCUUGAAAGGUAACUCUUGAAAUUCCUUGCAUGCGUUCCCAUGCACGCAUGAGCGCUCAAUGUUAGAUGUGCCUUGAUGGCUUGUGAUUUCCUGAUCGAGGGGAAAGAUGUGAUCUCUGCGAGUUUGAUGUUAGGCCAGUCUAGGGGACUUGAGGCCGGAUCUUUGCCUAUGGUUUGAGCAUCGAGGUGCUGAUUAUAUGAGUAAGUGUGUCAAAUUGAUAUGUUUGUUAUUGUCCCUAUUAGUGGGAGUGACGGUUGGAUAGCUAUGUGAAGAGUAUGUUAGUACUGCGAGUUAUAUUCAUAUGAUUUGGAAGACGACGAGGAAGGUCUACUGGAGGAUAGAAGAACUAUUAGGUUCUUGAAUUCCCUCGUAAUUCGAGGUGUAGCCCUGAUUUAUGGGUGUGUGAAGAAUCUUUUCAUGUUUUCGAGUCGGGAAUGAAGUAAAUUUCAUGUAACGGUAUGAGUUUAGACUCAGGGAAACUAAGUGAUUGCGUAAUAUUUGUGACAAUGGAAGGUAUAUAGAAAUGUUAUAUUGAGGCGAAGCAGGUAGUUAUCUCAUGCGGAUUGUUCUGAAGUGGUGUGAUCCUUAUGUUGUGUAUUAGAAGAUCUCAUUUACAAGUGAAGAAUAUCUGUUAAAAUUUAAAUUUGGGUCACUUAAGAGAGUGGGCUUCACUGUUGUGAAGAUGAAUGCGAGAAUUGCAAAAGAUUUAAAGUGCCAGAUGGUUUGUGUUUCAAGAGUUAUGAAGGAUUGAGUUUAAUCUCACUAUAAUAUUAUGGCAGCGAUAGGUUAUAUGUGUUAUAAGUUAUCGAGUGUAAUUUGAUCUAUGGCUCCAAGACAAGUGGGGGAGUCUGUUGAUUAGUUGACUGCACGGUUAGGUGCUAUGUUAGUUCCAGUUUGAAGCAUACUGGUGAAUAAAUUAUGGCUUAUGGAGAUCGAGACCGAGGGUGCCUCGAGUAAAGGAAAAUUUUGGCCGAGUUUAUGCCAUGCUUCAUAGGUGUAAGAGGACAUCAGAAUGUCUUAAGUUGUUAUUGGUAGAGAAUGCUCGGUGCAUAGAGCAGGUAGAUGCUUGGUUGUAUUGGGGUGAGGAUUUCAUUCUGCGGUGCUAGAGCGCUAAUGAGGCACGGGAGGUUUUGUUCGCUUGAUCAGGGUAAUUGCAGUUUCAAUAGAGUGAAUGACUCUCGAGAAUGGUUCUAAUGUGUUCAAGAUUCUAUAUGCAAUGAUUGGGUAUCUUAAAGUCGUAUAUAUGGUUAGAAACCAAGUUUUCAUUGGAAGGGUUCAAGACUUAUGAUAUUUCCAUGUUAAUUAUGGGAUUAUAUGUGUUAGUAUCAGGAAGGUAAAGGUAAUUGAUUUAAAUUCAUAGGAAGUUUCUUCAGAGCAAAGUAUUUUGCAGGUGGUGGUUUUAGGGGUAUUUAAGAGAGUAUUCAGCGACUUAUGAGUCUCAGCUAGUGUGGUUUAAUGAUUGGGUCUCGUGUGGUGAGACUUGGGCGAGGAAUUGAGGUGCUACAGCAAGAGGGAAUAUCAAGUUGAAGAUGAAUCAGAAGGAAAUUUAGAUAGCUGGAGCAGUUCAUAGUGGACCAGACCGACAUAGUAAGGAUAUGAUUAACUUAUUAUGUGUGUUUGAGGUGAUGCGUUCUUACAGGUAUUUUGAAGCAAUGCUCUUAGGUUUCUAUGGCUUGCUUAGCUUGGUCGAGUUAGAAGGAUUCAGUCCUGGCAGGUCAAAUUUGUGCAAAGUGGACUCGGAGAGUUCUUGAUGGUUGUUACCGUGAUUUGGAGAUGUAUAUCUUCUAUCGGCAUGCGGAGCAUGGGGUGUAUAGUAACUUUCUUCUAGAUGGGACCAAUGGAAAGUUCUUGACUAGUUGAGUACGUAGAUAUUUGUGGCUCAGAGGGGAGAUAAAGUUCUCAUGAUUACCCCAUGGUGGUAUGGUAUAUACAUUACUUUGUGAAAGAUUGGGAUUUGUGUGUGUAAGUUUACAGUUUAGUUCCGAAUGGAAAGUCAUGAGAUUCUUAGGCAGCAGGAGCAGUUUUAUGUGAUUAACGAAAAGAGCUUCAGAUGAUUAGGGCGAAUGAUCUGAAGAUGAUUAAGGAAAUGGUAUUGCUAAUCUUAAUGAUUUUACGAGGGUAUAUGUUUCAGAAAAGGCAAUGUGAUUAGGUUGAUAAAACUCUGAUAGUAUUGCGGCUCUCUCUUGAUUGGAUCGACUGCCGAUAUUCGAGUUUUCUUGAUAGCAUAGAGGAAUUUCAAGGUAUCUUUCUUAGAAUGAUGGGGUACUUGAGGUGAUAUGUAUUCAGGCGGCAGAAUUUGGGAUUAGGCAUGGUGAUUGUGUGCUAUAUGGAGUUGGAGACUGGGAGUUCUCAUGUUCAUGCUAUGUUGUUGUUGUGAGUUGCAUGUGUCUAUUGUUUAGCAACUAUUGAGAUUUGAAGAACCAAGUGGAUCUUUUUUCGCUUAGCAUGUUAGAUAUUGGAUGUGAUAUUAGGUUUAGACUGGUUGUCUCCGUGUUGUGUUAUUCAGGACUAUUGCGUUAAGACGUCGCUGUUGGCUAUGCCGGAAAAUGCCAUAGGUUGAGUGGCGAUGUUUGACGGAUUAUUUCGUAUUAGGGACUCUUAUAUCGAAGACCCAGUGGACAGCUGGGAAGGACUUUCCUUCUUACUUGGGCUCUUGUGAUGAAUGUCAGUGCUGAGGCUCCUCAUAUUGAUUUAGUUUUCGUGGUGAAAGAUUUAUCGCAUGUGUUUCCCAUGGCCCGGGAAGGUUGUUGAUUUCGGUAUUGAUUUGGUUCACCGUAUCGUAUGGCACCAGCAUGAGUUAUAGUAGAGGAAAGAAUAGCUUCACAUUUACUUGAUGAUGAGUUUGUUGGCAUGCCAAAGUGAAUGCGUUUUCUAGCUUGAGUCGGCUUGGUUAACCCCGAAUUGUAUUGUUGAGGGAUAGGUUGAAUCAAUCGUUAUUGAGCUCGUUGGUGAUUGGGGAGAUCUAGGGGUGGCCGUCUAUGUUGUGAGGUGUUAUGAUUUGUUAGUUAUGGGAACAUACGGUGCAGUUCUAUUGAGGUUCAUAGUGGAAGUUGAGGGGAAAAAGUAAUUGGGUAUUGCUUGGUGAAUGGCGUAUCGGUGACGUCCUAUCGGGUCUGCGUAGUAUAUGUUACUUGUUUCAUCGGGGGUGUAGUGAUUUUCUUUGGUUCCAGGCAUCAAAUUGUGUGCGGUUGUCCGUUUCGAGCAUAGUAACUUGAGGAUUUUUAUGUGGAACAGUGUUUGGAUUGGAUCACGUAAUUUCAGCGAAGCUAUGUGGAGAUAUGACCUAGUAGGUUAGAUUUGUGUGUUCUAUUCCUAUGAUGUGAGACAAGUUCUCAGCCAUGUGUUGUGAAGAUAAUGGUGAGCUUGAGGUACAACUCUUUCAUUUGAGUUAGUUUCAUGAUAUGAGUAUGUUCGGUUGUUGCUCACUGGUGCGCGGAAUGCGCAAGUUGUGGCCUUGGUCGGUCUUGGUGCGUCAUGUCACCAGAGUAAUUGUUUUGGAUUAGAUGAGGUCAUUGGGGGUUGUAAUGAAUGCAAAUAGAUUUGAUUUUAGCAUGCUUGAUGGACAAAUAUCGAGGUUUGGUUUAAAAAAUUGCUAUGGUCCUUGCCAAAGGAGAAGUGACCUUAUGGAUGGCUGAUAUGAGAAAUGGUUAUGGCUUACUGUGUGUUUUAGUUAUCAUUGGCAUUAUAUAUAUAAGGGUGUCAGAAUGAAACAUUAGUUGAUAAGAGUUUUUCAAUCGGUAUGCGGGUGUUGUGUGCAGCUGAUGUGAAUGGAAGAUUAUCGCUUCAUGUGUUUGAGUUAAGUGGUAUAUUGUAUAAUUGCACCUAAGGUCGCAGGCCUGGGUUAUUACAUCUAGUUUUGGCCUAUUCAGAGUAUAUGUGUGAGGUUUUGAUCGUAUUGAUGGUUUCAGAAGUGGAAAUGUGGUUCAAUGGUUUAUGGGCUAGAUUGGAUUAUGUAAUUUCAGUUAUAGUUUGUUAUUAGACCUAUAUGAGAUAGAGUGUCAUGGGAUCACCCUCUGGUAUAUUCAUGCUAAGGUUAUUCAAUGAUUGGUUGUCUUUUGGAACAACUCUGGGUACGCUCGAGGAUGAACAUGUGUUUAAGUGGGGGGNNNNNNNNNNNNNNNNNNNNNNNNNNNNNNNNNNNNNNNNNNNNNNNNNNNNNNNNNNNNNNNNNNNNNNNNNNNNNNNNNNNNNNNNNNNNNNNNNNNNNNNNNNNNNNNNNNNNNNNNNNNNNNNNNNNNNNNNNNNNNNNNNNNNNNNNNNNNNNNNNNNNNNNNNNNNNNNNNNNNNNNNNNNNNNNNNNNNNNNNNNNGGGGGGGGGGGGGAUGUAACGACCUGAGCGGUCGUUUUGAACUUUUGCACUUUUAUCACCAGUUCUCGGGCACGACUUGCUCUGUGUAGUGUAUUAUGGUUGAUAAAGAUCGUUUGUUUUGAUUUCAGGAAAAUUUUGAAUGAAUUUGGAAGAACAGUUUCAGUUGAAAGCUUGGAAUUUGAAAGGUUUGACCAAGAGUUAGCUUAUGUGUAUAUGAUCUCGGAUUGGAAUUUUAUGAUUUGGUUAGCUUCAUUGGUUGAUUUGUGACUUAGGAGCAUGAUCAAAAUUUGUUUUGGAGGUCUGGUGUGGAAUUUGGCUUGAAUAGAUGAAGUUAGUACUUUGCCGAUUUCUGGUUGGUAGGUGAGAUUUUAAUCCGAGGUCGGAAUGGAAUACAAGAGUUGCAGUAACUUUGUUAGGCGAUUUGGGAUGUGUGUGCAAAAUUUCAGAUUAUUCGGGUGUCGCUUGGUCAAGUUUUUGAUCGAAAGCGUAUUUCGGAAGUUUUUGAAAACUUAGGCUUGAAUUUGAUGAGUUUAGGAUAAUUUGAUGUUGUUUGAGGUGUUUUGAUGAUUGUAACAGGUUUGAAUAAUGUUAUGGGAUAUGUUGGCGUGUUUAGUUGAGGUUUCGAGGGCCUCAGGUGAGUUUUUGAAUAGUCAAUCAGACCACUUAGUGCCUUAAAAGAUAGCACAAAAUUGCAGGUUCACAGUUGCAGGAUUUUUGUUCUCUGCGAUCGCAUAAGAGGUCUUGCAAUUGCAUAGGAGGAUUUGUGGGGGUUGUUCUGUUGUUCAUUCCAUUCGCAUAGUAUAGCUUGAGAUCGCAUAGUUUAGGGAAAAUGUUCUUCGCGAACGCGGUUGAGGCAUCGCGAUCGCAUAGAGUAAAGUGGACUUGAGGUAUUGGAUUGGAAAUUGUUCAUCGUGAACGCUGAAUGUGGUCCGCGAUCGCAUAGUGUAAGUUGGCAGUGCAUUGCAUUCGCAUGGAAUAUGUUGCGUUCACGUAGAGUUAAUUCUGGGAGUUGAAGAUUUGUUCUUCCCGAUCGCGAGGAACGUUCCGCGAUUGCAUAAAAGAAAAUACCCCUUGGCUAAUGUCUAUAAAAUCAUCUUGUUCGCAAAUGUAGGUAUAUUUCACUCAUGACUACCCAUUUUUAGAGGUUUCUGAAGGACAUUAAAGAGGAAUUCAAGAGGAAUCGAUUUGAGGUAAGAAUCUUGAUCUUAAAAGUCGAUUAUAUUGUGAAAUCCACCUAGAAAUUCAUGAAAAUUUAGCCAAAAAUAGAAGAGCUAGGGCUUGGAAUUUUGAGAUUUUAAAUUGGAAUUUGAGGGUCAUUUGGAUUCUGAUUUUUGUGUUCUUUAUAUGCAUAGAAUUGUGGCAAGAUAAGGAACCCGUGAUGUAAAAAUUUCUAAGUUUCGAGAAUUGGGCCUAGGGCUCAGGUUUUGGUAAUUUCAGGAUUUAUACCCGUUAUUGAAUAUUUUUUCUUUGGUUUUGUUCCCUUAGCAUAUUGUGAUGUAUUCGCUCUGAUUUUGGAUAGAUUCGACGCACGUGGAGGCCAUCUUGAGGGGCAAAAGCGUUGUGAGCUAGAAAUUUUUCCGGUUUGAGGCGAUUAAUGAUUGUAAAUAAUGUACUGAGGGUUUAAAACCUAGGAUUGCUCAUCGUAGUAAUAUAUUGAGGUGACUUGCACACCGGAUAGCGAGCGUGGGGUAGAGCGCCGUUGGGGAUUGCGACUUGGUCCAUUCCGAUGGAUAAUUUUACCAUGUAUUUGGCUGAAACUUAUUUGUUAUCAUCAUGACUUGGGUUGAUUGCCAUAUUUGGCUUCAAGCCAGCUAUUUGAACCUCUUCGGGGAUGAUUUUUGAUAUUUCCUCAUCGUUUGGAUUUUAUACUUGAACUCAGUCAUGUAGUUUCCAAUGUUUUCAAAACUCAGCCAAGUUUACUUUGCUUUAACACUUGAAAUGAUAUUUCCAACAAUAUUUCUGGGCUGAGCAUCAUGUUUUACUAUUUCCCGAGGGGCUUGUGUAAUUUUCGACUGAGUAAGGCCGAGGGGCCUGUGUGGUGAGGAUACUUUUGGAACGGGCUGCACGCCGCAACACUGAGAUACUGAUAAUGAUAUGAGGCCAAGGGCCUAGAUUUGAUGUCACGAGAUGGCUUGAUAUUACACUUGGGCUGUAAGGGGCCCCUCUCGGAGUCUGCACACUCCCAGUGAGCGCCGUCGACGAUAAAUGGAUCGGGCUGCAUGCUAGAGCAGUAUAUGGAUUGUGCUGAACGACGCAGCGAUACCGAUACUGUUUUACAUGUUUACCUUUUUAAUUAUUUACAAUUAUCUACUGUUGUGCUAUUUCAUGUGAUAUUUACCUGAUUGCCUGGUAUUUUCUGUUGAGUGAGUGUUGUGCCCGAGGGGCGAAUUUCUGUGCGUAUCUGCGCUAAUUGUUUUGCAUUCAUUUACAUAACUAUUGGAAAAGUCAUUUUCAAAAAAGGUAUAAACUAGGUUAAGAUGCCUUCCAAAGAUUUCCCAGCUUCAUAGCGUUUCUCAAGUGAGUUUUAUACUGCUUCUAUACAGCAUGAUGAUUUGCCUUACGUGAUUUCUUACCGCUUAGACAUUAUUUACCUUUAUUACUCACUAAGUUAGAGUACUUACUUUACUCCCUGUACCUAGUGUGCAGAUGCAGAUAUUUGCUCCCCCGGUAGCAAGUCUUGAGACGAUCAGAGGCUAAGUUAUCAGAGUUUAGGAAGGUGAUUGUCAGCGUUCCCAACACCGCAUUUCAUCCAUUUGUUUAUCACUUCUAUUUUGCUUACUACAGGCCUUGUAGUUGUGUUUAUUCUCUAAUAGAUGCUUGUGACUUGUGACCACCCGGUUUGGGCGGUGUUUGGGUUGUCUUCCGCACUUAAUAAAGAAAUAGUUUGCUUAAACUGUGUUAUUUAAUUAUGCUAAAACAUUUUACAAAUAGUAACUAUUCUGAAAAGUCGAAAUGGGUUGGUUGGCUGGCCUUGUCUUCAGGAGAGGUGCCAUCAUGACCGGAUCGGGACUUGGGUCGUGACAGAAACAGGGGCAGAAAUUUCAAGGAAACCCUUCGUAGGGGAAAGGCAAGCACCAGGCAGGUAUGACCGUAAAAAUUCAGGAUCCUCCUAAAAAAUUGGGACCUAGUUAAACUUCAAAACAAUCAUGAGUAGCAUAAGCUAGCAUAAACAUACCCCCUCCCCCUUAAAGCAUAUAAGUUGGUUUCGAGGUCUUCAUUCUUGAGAUAGGGUUUAAUUAGUUUUCAGGACCCUCCUGACUAAUGGGACCUAAAUUUAGAAACAAUGAGUAGUCAAGUCUAGUAUAAAUGUACCUUAAAAGAAUAUAUGUUGGCUUAAUAGUUUGCGUGUUUGAGAUAGAAUACAAUUAGGGACUUUCAAGACCCUCAUGAAUAAUGGGACCUAGAUUUAAGAUUUGCAUUAGAUAAUAAUAUUUAGCGUAAGUUCUGUUGUAGGGUAGUAUAAUUCAGUCGUAAAGAAUUGUCACUCAUAGGAAAAAAUUCUACUUUGGGUUGUCAUGACCCUCUAAGGUAAUGGGACAUAGCUUUAGGGUCUGCUUAGAGAAGAAGAUGCAGUAAAAGUUGUACCUUUAAAGAUAUAACUUAGUUUCAAGAUUGUCGGUAGAUAAGAGUUCUCAGGACCCUCUGGAUAAUGGGAUGUAUCUUUAAUACUUUCUUAGGUAGCAGGAUAUAGCGGAAGUAAUACCUUUAGAGGAUACAUCUUAGUUUUAAAAUUGUCGUUAGUUAAGAGUUGCCAGGGCCCUCCUGGAUAAUGGGAUGUAACUGCAAUACCUUCCUAGAUAACAAGAUAUAGUAAUAUCUCCAGAAGAUAUAACUUGGAUUUAGAACUGUCAUUUAACUAAGAGUUGUCAGGACCUUCCUGGAUAAUUGAAUCUAGCUUUCCAACUCUUAGAAUAUUUGAUAACAUGAUUCGGUUUAACACUCACAUAUGAACCCAACUACCAAACUGGGGCAGGAAUUUUCUUUGUUUUGUCUAUUGUGUUAAAAUCAGGCACUCACCUGGAGAGCAAGGGAAUACGAUCCAAGUUUGGUAAUCAGGCACCCACCCGAAGAACAAGGGAAUACAGUUCAAGUUUUGGCAAUCAGGAGCCCACCUGGAGAAUAAAGGGAAUACAAUUCAUGUUUUGGCAAUCAGGAGCCUACCUGGAGAACAUAAGAAUAAUAUUCAAAUUUUUGUAAUCAGGAGACCAUCUGGAGAACAAGGAAAUACAAUUCAAGUUUUGGUAAUCAGAAGCCCACCAGGAGAAUAAGGGAAUACAAUUAAAGUUUUGGCAAUCAGGCGUCCACCUGGAGAACAAGGGAAAACAAUUCAAGUUUUUGGUAAUUAGGAGCCCACCUGGAUAACAGGGGAAUACAAUUUAAGUUUUGAUAAUCAGGAGCCCAUUUGGAGAACAAGAGAAUACAAUUAAAGUUUUGGUAAUCUAGAGCCCACCUAGAGAAUAAGGGAAUACAAUUCAAGCUUUUGGUAAUUAGGAGCCCACCUGGAGAACAAGGAAAUACAAUUCAAGUUUUGGCAAUCAGGCGCCCACAUGGAGAACAAGGGAAUACAAUUCAAGUUUACGGUAUUCUGGAAUCCACCUGGAGAAUAAGAGAACACAAUUCAAGUUUUGAUAAUCAGGAGCCCAUUUGGAGAACAAGUGAAUACAAUUCAAGUUUUGGUAAUCAGGAGCCCACUUGGAGAACAAAAGAAUACAAUUCAAGUUUGUUGGCAAUCAGGAUCCCACCUGGAGAACAAGGGAAUACUAUUCAAGUUUUGGCAAUUAGGAGCCCACCUGGAGAGCAAGAGAAUACAAUGCAAGCUCAGCAAUCAGGCACCCACUUAGAAAACGAGGGAAGACAAUCCAAGUUUCGAAGGAAUGCAGUUCAGGUCUAGUAAUCAGGAGGCCACUUGAAGAAAGGAAAAACAUCUCAGAUUGCAACUCAAGUCAGCAACAAAGGAAUUUCACCAGGAGAAUACAAGUCAACAAGACAACAAGGAUCACAAGAUCAAGUUUGAAGAUAUAGAUAUGAUCUUUUUAUUAUUCAUAGGUCAUAGUUUAAUCUAGCUUCUUUUUAUUUUGUCAUGGUUAUAUAAGGAGUUCAGUAAGCAGUAAUAGCAGUAGUAGCAACAACAGUGAAAUAACAGCUUCAUGGUAGUCCCUGCUACCAAAACUUCUAGAACUACACCGACUUGAUUCCUUUAUAACCAAGGAUAUGUAGGCCACCUGUGAAGCAAGGUUCGGUCAGACAUUUUUCAAAAAAUGCUUCUCAUGAAGUGUCAAGUAGGCAAAAAUCCCUCAUCGUUGCUCAUUUUAUUUUUUCUUGAAAAUCCUUCGUGUCUCAGAGCAAAAAGGGGCAGUUGUAAGCACAUGAUUUUUGCCUCGUAUGAAUUGCUCCUACAGAACUCCCAAAUCUAGGAUUUUUCUUUUAAUUAUUUGAUUUUUUUUUGGAAUCACUGCAUGAUUUUGUGCUUGUUUGCAUUUUUACGUGCAUAUUUAAUUUAUGAAAUUCAUGGCAAAAUACAAAAAUACAUUGCAUUGGCAUUUAAGAUUCACUUUUUAUUUUUUUUAGGAUAAUUAGUUAUUUAAAGUUAUAAAAAUGAAAGAAAAUAAGAAAAAUAGCUCUUUUUGGAUUUUUUACUUUUAAAUUUUUUAAAUUUAUUAGAGCUUCCCUUAAUUUAGGACUUCACUGAUUUUUGAGGAGCAAUUAGUUAUUAAUUUAAUUUUUGGGAUUAAAUCACAUUUUUAGAUUUUUAUUUGUAAUUAGCAAAAUUUAAAAAUGAAAAAAAAAGAGAAAAGAAGAAAGAGUUUGUUAAUAAAAGGGAAUUUGGGCCAAUUCAACUUAAACCCUAAGCCCAAACCAUUUCUUCUCUUAAAACCUGCCCAAAUUACCCCUGAUCCAGUCCACUUCACCCUAGUCCCAAACGACCCCGUUUAAGUGCAAAUUUGAUCACAACCGUCGAGAUUAGGAGAUCGGACGGUUGAGAAGUGAAGUCCCUUCAGUAUAAAACUAUCCAAACAUACCCACCUACCUACCCUCAUCCCCUCAUCUCCCUCACCUUCUCUGUCUCCCUAUAACGUCCGCCACCAGCCGCCGUCGAAAAUUGUACCACGGUGGCAUCAAGUCUCCAAUAGCCCUGAAAUUCACACCACCUUCUUGUCUCCUCCCUCAUGCUCAUACCACACCUCGUUUCCCUCAAAUCCCACUGGAAUGCGCCAAAUCUUCAAAACCCUAGUGCCGCCACAGUUCCUCCGGUGGCGGUGCAGCCUCCAGCCGACCCCAAACUAACACCAGAGAACCUCCAAGGCUCCCUCAUCCCAAAUUCCCAUUUAUUUUCCCUUGAAUACCCCUUAAUUGGCUCAAAUAUUAAAUUAGAGGUCGAAGCCCUAAUUCCUAUAACUCAAAAUUCAACGGGUAUGUGAGGAUUUCAGACUGUGUUGGACCUUAGUCUUGUGUUUUCACAAAAAAAACACAAGAUUAAGGUCCAUCUUAGCCAUAAAUUAAAGAUUUCAUCGAAAUUUUAACUCAAACUGUGGUUUACCUAAUUCUGAUAAUCACUCCGGUAUUUCAUCCUUUUCAUUGUUCUUGUCUUCUUAUAUCUUUUCUUCUUUUGUCAUUCUAUUUUUCUCAAUCUGUUUUGCAUGUGUUUCUAUUAAUCCAGUCAAGUGUUAAUUGCUUUUUCUCUAGUUUAUUUGAUUUCAUUAGAUUAGUUUAAUUUCUUUGUUUAUUUUAAUUUCAAGUCUAGGCUAUUAUUGAAUCUUUAGUUCAUAUUUUGGAUGGUUUUUUUCUGCCUAAGUAUUUUGCGGAAUCGUGGAAUCAGACCCGGGUCCAAAGAAAAGAAUUAGCCCAGGUCUUGUUUGAAUUAAGCUAUUUGUUUUGAGUCGGGUCAUAUAAACCUAUGUCUGGGCUAGUCUGAAUACUGGGUUAGCUUGACCCAUGAAUUUUAAGGUAAAAAUAUGGUUAAUUAGGGGUAAAUUGGGUAGAUCACCUAAAGAAUCUUUUAGUAACAGCCUUAAGAAGCUUCUAGAAAGCUGAAAAUAGCCUUGCUUGGCUAGCAAGUCAGAAAAUGAGGGACUUCUAUGAAAAAUUAAGAAUUAAAAAGGGACUAAAAUGUAAAGCUGAAAUCUAUUGUUUACCCUACUUUCCUUGCCUAUAAAGGAAUCUUUUCUUGCUUUUCAGGGCAUACCUAAGUGAUAGAAAAGUCUGAAAAUUAGAACAACAAAUAAUGAGAAGAAAGCUACUGUCCUAUUGAAAUUUUCUUCAAUUUUUCUUAGUUUUCAAUUGUUGAAAGUCGGUGGAAUUGGUGUUACUUGGUUUUAAUUCUCUGAAUCACUCUGCUGGUUUAAAUCUUCAGGAAAACUUCUGAAAAACUGAGAGCUGGUGAUAAAAAUGAGUUUGAGCUUGGGUAUAGAAAGAGCUUGGUUUGAUUUUGUUGGUUGGUUCUGUUGAGUUUCUUUUGUUUGAAGCAAUCCUAUUAUUUCAUUGCUGAGUUGGUUGAAUCUGGGGUUUCUUGCAUCUAUUUACUGCUGUUGUUCUAAUUUCACUCUUAUUUUUCUUUUUUCAAGUAUUCAUCUCACCUUCUAAUGUAUGAGAAAGGAUGAACAUGAAGUUUGGUUUACUCAAGUCGAGAUUUGCAAUAUUACAGUUGUUUGUUUAAUGUUUCUGUAUUUUCGAAGUCAUCUGAUUUAGUUUAGUUUUCUUAUGUCUCGUACUAUUGUGAUUUGAAUAUGAAAUGAUGUAGUAGUACGAACUUGUUAGUUUAUAAUGCUGAUUACUAAAUGUGUGUGAAAGGUCAUGAUAAAUGAUGGGUAAGAUCUGGAAGUUGUAUGUGCUCACAAGGUUGGGUGGCUAUUUCAUUGUUGAUCAAUGUGCAGAAAAACUCCUGUAUUCGUUACUGUUGAGAGUAGCACAAUUAAAAUUAAUUGGUCAAGUAGCAGUUAACAUAGAAUCCGUGAUAAAAAUGGGAAACAUGAUUAUAUAAUUAGGGUAUUACACUGAUGUUUCAAUGUCUAAUAUGUGAACGCUCAUCAUAUGAAUGUGUUAGAUUAGAAUUAGUAUGAAAGUUGAACUGUUUAUCUCCUUGAUUUGGAUGUAAAGGUUCAGCAAUGAACAUGUUCAUUUAAUCUUCAAGUUCUAGUAGAUGCCCACUUAUAGUGUUCAUUAAUUAGUGCAUAAGGUUGUUGGAACCUAAAAAGGGUUUUGAAUGAGUUUCUAUUUAGUUCCAAUCAAGUCUUCAGUGUCAAUAAUUAUUAAUUCAACUGUUGAGCUUGUUCAUGGGUUUGUGGUCCUUGGAUGCUCUAUUCAUUAUGAUUUUCCAAAUUUAAACUACAUUCUGUUGUUGCCCGGAUUCGAAGACGUGACCUAUUUGAUAUUCAAUUUGGGUAAUGCCUCAUGUAAAUUUGGGCUCUUCGUUGAGUCCAGAUAGGGUCAGCCAUAGAACCCGUUGCUUGGCAUUCCUGUGAUGUUCUUUGAGCUAUAGGGCCUCACCUUAGGCUAGGCCCGAGUUUUGAACACUAAGUAUGGACUGGACCUUGCUUCAUUUUAAUUUGGACCCACGUUCGAGCUCAGUCGAGAAUCUAAAGUAGGUGAGAUUCCUUUAGGCAUUAUUUCAUUGAUAAAUCAUGGGCUAGUUGAGGUGUGCCACUAAAAACCAAUAAUGAUUUAUGGCCCUCGUGAAUUAAAAUAAAAACCCUUAAGCUAAUAUAAUUCAAGGCGCUCCAUGCCAUACGAAAAUAACAAAUGCAUGCCCCUUGCUUAAUUAAGUUUGAUUUAAUUCUUAGAAUUCGAGGCGCUUCAAUUAGCAAAUUUUGAUAGCCCUCGCAAAGUUGCCAAUACGUAGUUGCUUUAGGCGCGUUAUUUUAAUAACUUACAUUCCUAAAAUCGGGUGCGCAUUUAUGUGACCCAAAUUCAAAUCUCAAAUUUAAAUAAAAUGUGUUGUGAACUGCGGGUGCAUUUAUUUGACGUGGUUCAAGACAUAUUUUAAAUGACGUUUGAAUUUUCCAUAAAAUAAUUAAAUAAAGCGAUUAAAAGUUAAAAUUGCAGAUAGGUUCAAAAAUAUUUUAAAUCAGAUAAAUAGGCCAAUAAUAGUAGUAGAGCAACCGUGCUAGAAUCACGGAAUUCAAAAGUACCUAACACCUUCUCCCGGAUUAACAAAAUUCCUUACCCGGAUUUUUGGUUCGUGGACUAUAAUUUAGAGUCAACCUUUUCCUCGAUUAGGGAUUUGAACAGGUGACUUGUGACACCAUUAAACUAUCCCGAGUGGCGACUCUGAAUUUUAAUAAAUAAAUCCUUUUUUGAUUGUCACUUUAAGUUGAGAAAAACUCCCUUUCUGCGCCCUUCGUGGGAUAUAGUGAAAAAGGAGGUGUGACAUUGCUCAUAAAAUUAUUUUGUGGCAGAUUAUGGACCACUGCUUAAAAGCCAUGCCAAUAAUAUAAAAAUCAUACAAAAUAUCGUCAUAAUUCACUUAAUUACAACUCCAACCAGAGAAUAAAAUUUUUCAUCGAAAAUCCAAGACUAGUAAUCACGUACGGUAUGAAAAUAUAAACAAAAGUUUGGGAAUUCUUAUGCACAAAUAUGCGAAACGCUCCAAUCAUUAGUAAUCCAGGAUAUCAAACAGAGGAUUUCUCUUUCUUACAAAAUAAUUAUAUCAUGACACAAUAUCAAUUAUCCCUUGUAAGACCUAGUUAAUAAAAUCCUACACCUCUAUUAUUGAAUUUAAUACAACAACACGUCUAUUUACUAAUAGCCAAUGUAUAAACCUAUUGUAUCACCAGUAUUUAAUCAUGGAGACCAUGGGGAGUCACCCUCACUACCAUUGAAUUAAAAAUGAAUGAAAAGUAUUAAAAGAUAAUUUUCAGAAAAUAGAAAAACGUCCAAAACGCAGUCCAAACGGCUUCAAAAUGCCGAAAAACACCAUGGUUCACUGCAAAAGCAAUGCAUUUUUCUCACCACGUCGUUUUCAAUAGACCCACUAAAUUUUAGCUCAAUCAGAGUUCGUCAAGUUCGCUGACCUCCGAAAAUACUGGCAAUCCGGUCAAAAUCAAGUUUUGUUUUUUUACUAGGUAUAUCCAAAACAUCGAGAUCAUCUCAAGAAAAUAUCAAUAAAAACAGAUAUCUCAUGAAUACAAGAAUAAUCCAAAAUUUUUGCACAGUUAAUUCACAAAACAGCGGUUCAGUUUUUCAGAAAACAACAUAUAUAUGUAAUUCAAAAACGCACAUAAACACGAUAUUCUUGUUUCAUGAAAAAAUUAGUUAUCUAAUUCGAUGUAAGUGGACUCUGAUACCAAUUGAUGGAUUAUUAUAUGCAGCAGAAGCAAUCCCAAUAUCAAAAUCACAUGAAAUGUAGACAACUAGCAUAAAUGAGAUUUCACGGGUUACCUCUUGAAGCGUGAACAAAACUCCGUUAUCACAUGAGCCUCCAAUUUCACAACAACUCAAUGAAUUCUCCACCACCCGCACAAUCACGAUCUCCGAACGUUCCACGAUCUUCUACUGUGUUACCCAAAUAAUAUCCGAAAAUAGUAAUUUCAUGUGGGCGAAAUUUCUAGGAAAAUAUGGCUGAAAAUUUCAGCCGUCAUGUACUACACCCUUUAGGUGGAAAACCUUAUGUAUUUAUAACUCAAUUUUUAAGGGUUAAAACCCUUUUCCAAAACCUGUUUGGUUUUCCUUUCCACCAGGAAAAGAGUUCCUUUAUUUCCUAUUAUUUACGCAUAGCAGAGACCACAUAAUUUAAUGAACAAGGCUCCAAUUAUGGAAUUAAUUUCUAUUUUUCAAAAUUAAUAUCCACCAUAAUUAAUUACGAAUUAUUCCACAAAAAAUUCGUAAUUGCAUUCCUUAUUCAAUUUCGAAAUUCAUCAAUUAAAUCUUAUUUAUCUCCUUAUAUUAAGAUUUAGAUACUAAUAAACUAAAUUAAAUUACUAAUGAUUUAAUUUAUUGAUUACUCCUUUAGACUUUCGCUUAACUUAUUUCAUGUGUCGGAUACAAAAGCCACUGGCAGGAUUUACACAUGAAAACUUAUAAGCUUUCACAAAGGUGUAUCAUCAAUCUCUGAACCGAGACAUGGAUUCCAUCAACUAACUAUUACUUCGUCAAUGUACAUUNNNNNNNNNNNNNNNNNNNNNNNNNNNNNNNNNNNNNNNNNNNNNNNNNNNNNNNNNNNNNNNNNNNNNNNNNNNNNNNNNNNNNNNNNNNNNNNNNNNNNNNNNNNNNNNNNNNNNNNNNNNNNNNNNNNNNNNNNNNNNNNNNNNNNNNNNNNNNNNNNNNNNNNNNNNNNNNNNNNNNNNNNNNNNNNNNNNNNNNNNNNNNNNNNNNNNNNNNNNNNNNNNNNNNNNNNNNNNNNNCAUAAAAUACUUAUCUCUACUUGGUCCGUUCAAUACAUACAAAAUGUACUAGUACAAGAAGUUGGAAUUAGACUAUUCUCACAAUUAAGAUAAAUUAUAUUUAAUCUUGUGCUACAAUCAUUCCUGAUGGGUUGUCCAUUCUAUCAUUAGAUUGUGAACUCAAACUUUAUACUUAUAAGAACCAAUGAUUUAAUCUUCCACGUAUAAGCUAAACUCUAUACACAAAAUCAUCUACUAUAUAAGCAAAGGAAACCGACUAAUAUAUGAUCUAUUAAAACUUUAUUAAAAGUGAAUGAACAAUAUUAUCAUUAUAAAUACUAUAUCUAAACCAAAUACAUGGUUAAUAGUAUUGUCACGACCCACUUCCUGAACUCGGUCGCGAUGGCGCCUUUCGUGAAGACAAGGCCAGCCAGACCAAAACUGAACACCUCUGAUAAGAAGUUAAAUGAUACAUAAUAGUUCUAAUCAUGAAAUAAUAGCCAAAUUUGUGGAAUAUAGCGAUAACAAAAGAGGAGGAACAUCUCGACACAACCCAAACUGAGGUGUCACAAGUCAGGAGCAACUAAUGAAUCCUGAAAAAAGUCUACUAAAUACGAAAUCUGAUAAAAAAUUCUGAAAGACAUGGAGUAAUGAGAUAAGGGAGGCACAGGGAUGCGGACGCCAACAACUACCUCGUAGUCUCAUAGACACUGCCCAACUUGGAGGAUUAGCACUCAGGAGCGAAAUAUGCUAUGCCUGAAUCUACACACAUAGUGUAGGGAGUAAUGUGAGUACUUCGACCCAGUCAGUAAUAAUUAUAAAUAAUGACUGAAAACAAGAAAACGCGCAAAUGUACAAAGCAAACCAGAAAAAUCACUUAAAAAGGCAAACCAGUGAAGAAGUCAAAUGAAAUUCCUUUAAAGAAAUUAAAACAGGUAAUUUAGCAGGUAAGUAAAAAGUAGGAAUUGCCCCUCGGGCAUAGUAUCAAUCACCCAGCAGUAUCAGCCCUCGGGCUCACUCUCAGUAUAGUAUCAGCCCCUCGGGCACAGUAUCAGUCACUCCGAAGUAUCAGCCCCUCGGGCGCAGUAUCAGUCACUCCGAAUAUGAUGGGUACCCGCGCUCACUGUGGGCAUGCAAACUUCGGAGGGGCCCAUUACGGCCCAACCGCUAUAUCAAUCCACCUCGUGGCAUCAUCACUCGGUACUCCCCCUCACAUCAUUCAAGCCACCUCGUGGCCUAUAAAUGUAUUCAGGCCCUCGGCCUCAUAUUACUCAGCAAAUCCUCACAUAUGGCCCUCAUCGUCACUCAGUCCGAAAAAUCAUCACAAGCCCCUCGGGAAUUAGUAAAACAUUAGUUCUCAGCCCAAAACAUCAUUUAGAAAUAUCAUUAAGUUUCAAAUCCGAGUAAAAGCGGCUGAGUUUGUAAAACAGUGAAUAAUAAUAGGACUAAAUUCAAGUAAUAAAUCAGAACUGUAAGGAAAUAGUGAUAAAAAUCCCAAAAGGGUUCAAAUAAUCGGCACGAAGCCCAAAUAUGGCAAUCAGACCAAAUCAUGAUGAUAACAAAUAAGUUUUGAUCAAACAUACAAUAAAAAUCAUCAAUUGGGACGGACCAAGUCACAAUCCUCAGUAGUAAACGAUCCCACGCUCAUCAUCAAGCGCGUGGAUCAAAUCAACAUAGCACUACGUUAUGCAAUCCGGGGUUUCAAACCCUCAAGACAUUAUUUACAAUAACUGCUCACCUCGAACCGGCUACAACUCUAGCUCGCGACGCAUUUUCCCCUCAAAUCGGCCUACACACGCGUCGAAUCUAUCCAAAUCACAACGAAUAUGUCACAAUAUGCCAAGGAAACAAUACCCAACCAAAAACAACAAAAAAUAUCAAACAUUCUGAAAUUGGAAAAACCCGAGCCCCAAGCCCGCUUCUCGAAAUUCAAAAUUUUUUACAUCAACGGGUUCCUUAUCUUCCUACAAGUUCAUAUAUACCAAUAGUUCUCGAAUCCUACCCUAAAUGGUUCUCCAAAUCCUCAAUUAGAAUUUCAAAAUUCCAAGCCCUAUUUUUCCAUUUUUAGCAAUAACUCAAUGAUUUUUUAGGUGGAUUUCACAAUAUAAUUGAUUUUUAGGUUCAUAAAUCUUACCUCCAAUCGAUUGCCCUCGAAUCCCUCUCCAAUUUCCUUCAAAAUUUCUCAAAAACCACCAACAAUAGAGUGAAAAUGAGCUUCAACCUGCGGAUGAAAUGUUUAUAACCCUUCUGUCCAGGCCUGAAAAUCCUUCAUCGCAUUCGCGACCUAAGCCUCGCGAAUGCGAAGCAUAUUUUUUUCUGACCAAACUUAACCUUACGUGAACACGAUACCCAGACCGUGAACGCGAUUCCUUAUUACCCAGACCUAUACGAAUGCGACUUACCUGAUGCGAACGCGAUGAGUAAAUGCAUUGGGUCCCCAAAUCCUUAUAUGCAAACGCGAGCAAACCAAUGCGAACGAGGAAAACCAGAAAAUAACUUUCCGCGAACGGGGACCCUCAACCGCAAAUCCAAAGUGUAAAACAUUUGCCUUCCAAAUUUCUUCUACGCGAUCGCGAGGAACCCCACGCGAUCGCAAAGGCUUAAAAUCUGCUACAAUUGCUUCUCAUUUUCUGCAAUUUUCAAAGUCUCAAAACUUCGCGUUAGCCAUCUGAAAUCACCCCGAGGCCCCCGGGACCUUAACCAAAAGCACUAACACAUCCUAAAACAUCAUUCGAACUUUUUCCAAUCAUCAAAACACCUCAAACAACGUCAAAACCAUCGAAUUACAUCAAAUUCAAGCCUAAGUUCUUCUAAAACUUCUGAAACACGCAAUUGAUCAAAAACCCAACCAAAUCACCUCUGAAUGACCUGAAAUUUUGCACGCACAUCCCAAAUCACAUAAAGAAGCUACAACAACUCCUGAAAUUCCAUUCUGACUCUCGGAUCAAAAUUUCACCUACCAACCGGUAAUCGCCAAAAUACUAACUUCGCCAAUUCAAGCCUAAUUCUAGUCCGGACUUCCAAAACCAAUUCCAAUCACACUGCUAAGUCAAAAAUCAUCCCCCAAAGCUAACCGAACCAUCAUAAAUCACAUCCGUGCCCUCUAACACAGAAGUCAAAAUUCGAUUGGCUUUUCCAAAUUAAGCCUUCCUUAAAAAGACUAAGUGUCUCAUUUCUUACAAAAUCCACUCCAAAUGCAAACCAAUCAAAUCGACCACAUUAAACACGGAUAAUAAACCAUAAAGAAGCAGAAAUAGGGGAAAACAGAGCGGCAACCCAUGAGAUGACCGGCCGGGUCGUGACAUCCUCCCCAAUUAAAACAAACAUUCAUCCUCGAACAAGUCUAGAAACAUACCUGAAGCCAUAAAUAGGUGUAGGUAUCUGCUCCGCAUCUCCCGCUCGGUCUCCCAGGUAGCCUCCUCCACGGGUUGGCCUCAAUACUGUACUUUCACUGAAGCUAUAUCCUUCGACCUCAACUUUCAAACCUAGCGCUCCAAAAUGGUUGUUGGCUCUACAUCAUAAUUCAAGUCACCCUCCAACUGAACUGUGCUGAAAUCUAGAACAUGGGACGGGUCUCUAACAUACUUUUGGAGCAUAGAAAUAUGUAAUAACAGAUGCACACUCGACAAUCUAGGUGGCAGAGCAAGCAUAUAAGUCACCUCCCCAAUCCUCCUAAGUACCUCAACAGGCCCAAUGAACCGCAGACUCAACUUUUUUUUCUUUCCAAAUCUCAUAGCACCCUUCAUGGGCAAAACCUUCAGCAAGACCUUCUCACUAACCAUAUAGGAUACAUCUCGAACCUUCCGGUCCGCAUAACUCUUAUGGUGCGACUGUGCUGUAAAAGUCUCUCCUGAAUCAACUUCACCUUCUCCAAGGCAUCCUGAACCAAAUCUGUCCCCAAUAGCCUAACCUCGCCAGGAUCGAACCAACAAACUGGAGAUCUACAUCGUCUCCCAUACAAAGCCUCAUACGGUACCAUAUGAAUGUUGGACUGAUAGCUGUUGUUGUAGACAAACUCUGCAAGCGGAAAGUACUUAUCCCACGAACCUCCAAAAUAAAUAACAUAGGCAAGCAACAUAUCCUCCAAUAUCUGAAUAGUACGCUCGGACUGUCCGUCUGUCUGAGGAAGAAACGACGUGCUCAACUCCACCAGAUUCCCUAACUCUCUUCACACGGCUCUUCAAAAUUGCGAUGUGUCUGAGUACCUUUGUCUAAGAUGAUAGAAACCAGAACACCAUGCAACCGAACAAUCUCUCGAAUAUAAAUCCCUGCCAGCCGCUCUAACGAAUAGGUAGUACACACAGGAAUGAAGUGCGCAAACUUGGUCAGCCGAUCCACGAUCACCAAAUUGCACCGAAGUUCUUCAAAGUCCGAGGAAGUCCAAAUUCCAUUGUAAUCCUCUCCCAUUUCCAAUCAGGAAUCUCUAUCCGCUAAAGCAAGCCACCCGGUCUGUGAUGCUCACAUUUCACCUGCUGACAAUUAAGAAACCAAGCUAAAAAUCCCAUAAUGUCUUUCUUCAUCCUUCUCCACCAAUAGUGCUGCCUCAAAUCCUGAUACAUCUUCACGGCACCCUGAUGAAUAGAAUACCGCAAGCUAUGGGCCUCCUCAAGAAUCAUAUCUUUAAGCCCAUCCACAUUGGGCACACAGAUCCGGCCCUGCAUCCUCAACACUCCAUCAUAACCAACAGUCACAUCCUUAGCAUCAUCAUGUUGAACCUUGUCCCUGAGGACAAGCAAGUGUGGAUCAUCAUACAGGCUCUCUCUGAUGCGAUCAUAUAAGGAAGACCAAGAAACCACGCAAGCCAACACCUGACUAGGCUCAGAAAUAUCCAACCUCACGAACCGAUUAGCCAAAUCCUGCACAUCAAAUGCAAGAGGUCUCUCCCCAACUAGAAUAUAUGCCAAGCUCCCCAUAUUAAUUGUCUUUCGGCUCAAAGCAUCGGCCACCACAUUGGCAUUUCCCGGAUGAUACAGAAUAGUGAUAUCAUAAUCCUUAAACCACUCUAGCCACCUCCGCUACCUCAAAUUAAGAUCCUUUUGCUUGAACAAGUGCUGAAGACUGCGAUGAUUAGUGAAAAUCUCACAAGAUACGCCAUACAAGUAGUGCCACCAAAUCUUCAAUGCAUGAACUAUAGCAGCCAACUCCAAAUCAUGAACAAGGUAGUUCUUCUUAUGGGGCUUCAACUAACGAGAAGCAUAGGCAAUAACUCUACACUCAUGCAUCAAUACAUAGACAAUCCUAACUCUCGAAGCAUUAGAAUAUACGGUAUAUGAACCAGAAGCUGAUGGCUCUUGAGCUUCUGAAAGAUCUCCUCACACUCGUCCAACCACACAAAUGAAACGCCCUUGUGAGUAAACCUGGUCAAGGGUGAUGCAAUAGAAGAGAAUCCCUGAACAAACCGGCAAUAGUAACCUGCCAAGCCAAGGAAACUACGAAUCUCUAUGGCUGAGGACGGUCUAGGCCAACUCUGAACCACCUCUAUCUUCCUUGGAUCGACCUGGAUAUGCUUGCUGGACACCACGUGCCCCAAGAAAGCCACUCAACUAAGCCAAAACUCGCACUUGGAGAACUUUGCAUAAAGUUUUUCCUCUCUCAAUCUCUACAAUACAAAUCGCAAAUGCUCUGCGUCAUCUUUCUGACUACGCGAGUACACCAGAAUAUCAUCAAUGAAUACAAAAUGAACGAAUCAAGAUAAGGCCGAAAUACACUGUUCAUCAAAUAUAUUAAACACCAUUGGGGCAUUUGUCAGCCCGAAAAACAUGACAAGAAACUCAUAGUGACCAUAUCUAGUCCGGAAGGCAGUCUUAAGAAUAUCAGAAUCCUUGAUCUUCAAUUGGUAAUAGCCCGAAUGAAAAUCAAUCUUGGAAAAAACCCUCGCUCCCUGAAGCUGGUCAAAUACGUCAUCUAUGCGAGGCAGGGGAUACUUGUUCUUGAUGGUUACUUUGUUUAAUUGCCUAUAAUAAAUGUAUAUCCUCAUGGUGCCAUCCUUCUUGUUCAUAAAUAGAACUAGCGCACCCCACGGUGUACACUAGGCCAAAUGAACCCCAUAUGUAGGUGUUCCUAGAGUUGCUCCUUCAAUUCUUUCAACUCUACAGGUAGGUGCCAUACGAUAUGGCGGAACAAAAAUUGGGCUGAGUGCCGGGCACCAAGUCAGUACCAAGAUCAAUAUCCCUAUAUGGUGGCAUGCCCGACAGGUUUGCAGGAAAAACAUCGGGAAAAUCCCUCACAACUAGGACAUAAUCAAUACCGGGAGUCUCAGCUCCAACGUCCCGCGUAAAAGAUAGAUAUGAUAGACAACCUUUCCCAACCAUAUUCUGGGCCUUCAAGAAAGAUAUCAUUCUACUAUGAACAUAAUCAGUCAUACCAUGCCACUCGAUCUGCGGUAUGCCCGACAUAGCCAACGUGGCUGUUUUAGCAUGACAGUCUAGAAUAGCACGAUGCGGAGAUAACCAAUCCAUGACCAAAAUCACAUCAAAGUCCACCAUGAUCAAUAGCAGUAGAUCAACUCGGGUCUCCAAACCCCAAUAGUCACAAUACAUGACCGAUACACACGGUCUACAAUAAUAGUAUCACCCAUUGGGGUAGAUACAUGAACAUGUGAGGCAAGAAACUUUCGGGGCGUACCCAAAUGGUGAAAAAAAUACGAGGACACGUAAGAAAAGGUGGAUCCGGGAUCAACUAGUGCAGAGCAUCUCUAUGGCAGACUGCAAUAAUACAUGUAAAAACCGCAUCUGAAGGAAUAAUAUCUGGCUUGACUGGCACAACAUAGAAAUGAGCUUGGCCAUUGCCUAAUCAGCCUCCCCCUCUGGGGCGACCCCUGGCUGCCUGACCUCUGCCCCUAGUUGGUUGGACGGAUGGUAAAGUAACUGGAGCAUAAGCCGAGGGUUGACCCCUCUGCUGGGACGAACUGGCAGCACGACGAGGACGAUGCCUCCACAAAUGCCCAUACUCUCCACACAUAAAGUAACUCCAAGCUGCUAGAAACGGGGACUGAUGGGAUCCCCUCGUACCAGAGUGACCAGUUUAUGAACUCAACAUGGAUGAACCCUGAGCCGAUGGGGCACGAGAUGUACUCUGAGCUGGAAGGGCGCUGAGAGAAAGCUGACCCUGCUGAGACCCACGAUAACCACGACCUGAAGAUGCCCCAUGAUACUCUGGACAGGCUGACUGGGCAUGACUGAAAGAACGACCCCUACCAUGUUAAAACUGGCCCCUCGAGGGAGCUUCACUAAAACUGCCAAAACCUCGAGGCCUCUUAGCCUCUCUCUCCUCUCUAUUUUGACGGUGAACUGUCUCAAUCUCAUGAGCAAUAUCAACCACCUUCUCAAGUGUAGCACCCUAUACUCUCUCUAGUCAUUAAGAUACGGAGAUGAUAGUUAAGGCCAUCAACAAACCUCCUAAUCCUCUCACGAUCGGUCGGAACCAUCCACACGGCAUGACAAGCCAACUCCGAAAACCCCGACUCAUAUUGUGACAUAAUCAUAUCCCUUGUCGCAGCCACUCGAACUAUCUACGCUGCUCCUCUCUGCGGCAGUGCGGUACAUACUUCUCCAAGAAGAGAGUGGAGAACUGCUACCAAGUAAGGGGUGCUGCACCAACCGGCCUACGCCUCUCAUACACCUCCCACCAUGCGAAGGUGGCCUCAGUUAACUAAAAGGUGGUAAAUGCCACGCCACUAGUCUCAAGAAUCUCUGUUGAACGAAGCAUCCACUCACAUUUAUCUAGAAAACCCUGGGCAUUCUCACCCUCAGCACCACUGAGUGGCGAAGGUUGGAGUCUACCAUAUCUCUCAAGAUGACGCUGCUCAUCAUCCGGCAUAACUGGUACCAUAAACUCCCGAACUGGUGCAACCGGUGGGGCUAAGGUUACCUCAGGUAUCUGUAGGUCCUGCACUCCCUGCUCAGGUGUGCGAGCAACGGGGGUCUGACUGCCUCCCCCAGCCUGUGAAGUAGCUGCUGCUGUGGUGGCUGAAACUGCCUAAGCCAGGCCAGUGCAAACUGUCAAGAUCUAUGCCAAGGUAUCCUAUAGACCCAGAAUCACGAUGGGCAUAGGUAGUGCUAGAGCUGGUGCCGUUGCUGGAACCUGAUCUGGAGCCGGGCAGCUGGUGGGUCAAUAGGUGUUUCCCUAGCUGCUUUGCCUCUGCCACGACACCCACGGCCUCUGGUGGUCUCAGCGGGUGGCACUAGUGUCCGUCCACCUCGUCUGGUGGUGCGAGUCCUCACCACUUGCGAGAGAAUAGAAUAAUAGAAAAUUUAUUUCUCGGAUCAACAAAGACGGACGACAAGAAUUUCAAGAAUAUGAAGCUUCUCCUAAAAGUUCUGCAUCCUCUAGAGGAUAAAUACAGACGUCUCCGUACUGAUCCACGAGACUCUACUAAACUUGCUCAAGACUCGUGAGACCUAGUAACCUACGCUCUGAUUAAAACUAUCACGACCCACUUCUUGAACUCGGUCGUGAUGGUGCCUCUUGUGAGACAAGGCCAGCCAGACCAAAACCUAACGCCUCUAAUAAGCAUUUACAUGAGAGAUAACAGUUCUAAUCAUGAUAUAAUAGCCAAAUUCGCGAAAUAUAACGAUAAAAAAAGAGGAGGAACAUCUUGACACAGCCCAAACCGAGGUGUCACGAGUCAUGAGCAACUAAUGAAUCUUGAAAUAAGUCUACUAAAUAUGAAAUCUGAUACAGAAGUCUGAAAGACAUGGAGUAAUGACAUAAGGGAGGCACGAGGCUGCGGACGCCAACAACUACCGUGUUGUCUCCUAGACACUGCCUGGACUGGGAGGAUCAACAUUCAGGAGCGAAAUCUGCAUGCCUGAAUCUGCACACACAGUGCAGGGAGUAAUGUGAGUACUCCGACCCAGUUAGUAAUAAAUAUAAAUAAUAACUAAAAACAAGAAAACACGCAAAGAUACAAAGAAAUUCUAUAUCAAGCAGAAAAACCACUUAUAAAGGUAAAUCAAACAAGAAGUCAAAUGAAAUUCCUUUAAAGCAAGUAAAACAGGUAAUUUAGUAGGUAAGUAACAAGUAGGAAUCGCCCCUCGGGCAUAGUAUCAAUCACUCAGCAGUCCUCGGACUCGCUCUCAGUGUAGUAUCAGCCCUUUGGGCACAGUAUCAGUCACUCAAAAGUAUCAGCCCCUCGGGCUCAAUAUCAAUCACUCAUAACAUGAUGUGUACCCGCGCUCACUGUGGGUGUGCAGACUCUGAAAAGCCCCCUUACGGCCCAAGUGCUACAUCAAGCCACCUCGUGGCAUCAUCACUCGGCACUCGGCCUCGUAUCACUCAAGCCACCUCGUGGCAUAUAAAUGUAUCUCAGGCCCUCGGCCUCAUAUCACUCAGCAAAUCCUCACAUGUGGCCCUCGGCCUCACUUAGUUCGAAAAAUCAUCACAAGUCCCUCGGGCAUUAGUAAAACAGUAGUUCUCAGCCCAAAAUAUCAUUUAUAAAUAUCAUUAAGUUUCAAAUCUGAGUAAAAGUGGUUGAGUUUGUAAAAGAGUAAAUAAUAACAGGACUGAAUUCAAGUAAUAAAUCAAAAUAGUGAUAAAAUGCCCGAAGGGUUCAAAUGAUUGGCACGAAGACCAAAUAAGGAAAUCAACCCAAAUCAUGAUGAUAACAAAUAAGUUUCGAUCAAAUAAAUGAUACAAAUCAUCAAUCGGAAGGGACCAAGUCACAAUCCCCAGUAGUAAACGACCCUACGCUCAUCAUCAAGCGCGUGUCUCACCUCAACAUAGCACUAUGUUGUGCAAUCCGAGGAAACCCCAGGACAUCAUUUACAAUUACUACUCACCUCGAACUGGAUACAACUUUAGCUCGGGACGCCGUUGCCCCUCAAAUUAGCAUCCAUACUCGUUGAAUCUAUCCAAAAUCACAAUGAAUAUGUCACAAUAUGCCAAGGAAAUAAUACCCAAUCGAAAAUAAUAAAAAAAUGUCAAAAAUCUCAAAAAUUGUCAAAACCUGAGCCCUAGGCCUGCUUCUCGAAAUUCAAAAUUUUUACAUCAACGGGUUCCUUAUCUUUCUACGAGUUCAUACAUACCGAAAGUUCUCGAAUCUGACCCCAGAUGGUUCUCUGAAUCCUCAAUUAGAAAUUCAAAAUUCCAAGCCCUAUUCUUCCAUUUUUAGCAAUAACUCAAUGAUUUCCUAGGUAGAUUUCACAAUAUAAUUGAGUUGUAGGUUCAUAAAUAUUACCUCUAAUCGAUUGCCCUCGAAUCCCUCUCCAAUUUCUUUCUAAAGCUCUCAAAAAUGGAAAACAAUAGAGUGAAAAUGAGCUCCAACCCGCGGAUGAAAUGUUUAUAACCCUUCUGUCCAGGCCUGAAAAUCAUUCAUCGCGUUCGUGACCUAAGCCUCAACAACGUGAAUCACAUUUAUUUUACCAAACUUAACCUUACGCGAACGCGAUACCUACACUGCGAAUGCAACUUACCUGAUACGAACGCGAUGAGUAAAUCCACUGGGUCCCUAAAUCCUUAUACGCGAACGCAAGCAGACCAAUGCGAACUCAAAGCACUAGAAAAUAACCUUCCACAAACGCGGGCCCUCAACCGCGAACGCGAAGGGUAAAACACUUGCCUUCUAAUUUUCUUAUACACAAUCGCGAGGAACCCCACACGAUCGUGAAGACUUAAAAUAUGCUGCAACUACUUCUCAUUUCAGUAAUUUCCAAAGUCUCAAAACUUCCUGUUAGCCAUCCGAAAUCACCCCCGAGGCCCCGGGACCUCAACCAAAAGCACCAACGCCUCCUUAAACAUUAUUCAAAUUUUUUUCAAUCAUCAAAGCACCUCAAACAACGCCAAAACCAUCGAAUUACAUCGAAUUAAAGCCUAUGUUCUUCUAAAACUUUCGAAACACACAUUUGAUAAAAAAACCCAACCAAAUCACCUCCGAAUGACCUGAAAUUUUGCACACACAUCCCAAAUUACAUAACGAAGCUACAACAACUCUUGGAAUUCCAUUCCAACCCGCGGAUCAAAAUUUCACCUACCAACGGAAAAUCGCCAAAAUACUAAAUUCGCCAAUUCAAGCCUAAUUCUACUCCGGACCUCCAAAAGUAAUUUCGAUCAUACUCUUAAGUCACAAAUCAUCCCCGAAGCUAACCGAACUAUCCUGAGAAUUCUGAUGCUGUCUCACAUAAACUCCUCAAUAGUUUCACCCCUCCGAGCCAUGUAACACAUAAGUCAACAUCCGGUUGGCUAUUCAAAACUAAGCCUUCUUUAAAGAGACUAAGUGUCUCAUUUCAUACCAAAUCCACUCUAAACGCAAACCAAUCAACUCGACCACAUAAAACACGGAUAACGAAGCAUAAAGAAUCAAAAUUGAGGAAAACGGAGCAACAACUCAUGAGACGACCUGCCGGAUUGUCACAAGUAUAUAUCCCAACAUAUACAUCUCGAAUUAGAGUGCACAAACCAUAUUCAAGAAUGUAUUAAUUAGUAGUUAUACUUAUCCUAUAAACUAAAGUUGCUUUAAGACUUUUGGUUGAUUUCGAUUGCUUGAAACCAUUAUUAUAUGACUUAUCAAUUUACAUACACCUUAAUUAUAUGAAAGAUUAAAAUAUUUUUAAAAAUAUAUUUUAUUAAAAUAUGAGACUAGUCAAGAUUCUUUCCGAUAAGAAGUUUAACUGUAUACUAUAUAUAUACAUGUUACUCUGUAAAGGUAUAAAAAGAAAAAAUAGAACGAAUUACUGUAAACAUUAUUUUUACUAUUUUUGGCCGAUUCAUAUACAAACAGAGGGACCCAUUUAAGAAUUUUAAUAUAUUGACUGUGGCAAAACCAAGUUAGUAUAUUCCACGUUAAUUAUUUAAAGAUAGGAUCUAAAAUGUGAUGGCUCUUUUGUUUGGCUACUUUCCUUUAACACUUUUAUAUUCUUUUAAUCCCACUAUUAUAAUUUUAUAUGUAAUCUUUCUUAUAUUGACAUUUCAAUUUUAGGGCUUCUAUUGUCCAUACUCUUUAUCCACAAAAAGGAGAUAUACUUUUUAGUAGAAAAAUAGAAAUAUAUAGGGAACGAUUUAUACCUUAACGUGAUUUCAAGCACAAACCUAAAUUAAGCGAGUGAUUUUUGUAUAUUGAACGAUUAAAUUAAAAAAAAUAUUUGAAAUUAUUAACAAUCCUUUGAUAAAGUAACAUUGAAUAGGAAAGUAAAUAGUGCUAAUAUGUUUUUAAAAAAAAUUUUCAACAUACUAAAUAUACUCAUACGGAAUAAUCAGUUGCAAUUUUAAUAGAAAAAAAAAGUGUUUUAUAUGAUCAAUCUCCAAUGUCUUGACAUGAAGGCGUUUGGAACAUUUGUAAUAAGUCAGAAAAAUGAUAAAUUCGAGAAAUUGACACUUUGCACGUGUGAUAGACUCUUGGUGCAAGGAGACAAGAAAAAACAAUAAAAAAAUACCAUCACCUGAAAUUAUAAAAAUUAUAACAACACCAUAAGCACCCGAAAAUAAAAGAAAAGCAAUAAUAAUAAUGUUUAUAUAACAGUUCAAGAGUAAGUAAUAUGAUAGUAUAUAUACCCCCUCCCCCCAAAAAAAAGUAGUACGAAGUGUUUACGAGGCUAAGACAAGACGCAUAUAUUUACCUGUGUAAUUAAACUAUAUAUGAGCAUAAUAAGAGAAAAAAGAAUUAAACACAUAUUAAUGGGAGGGGAAAAACAUGUUGAUGGGAUAGUGACGAGGCUAAGACAAGACGCAUAUAUUUACCUGUGCAAUUAAAUAAUAUAUGAGCAUAAUAAGAGAAAAAAGAAUUAAACACAUAUUAAUGGGAGGGGAAAAACAUGUUGAUGGGAUAGUGACGAGGCUAAGACAAGACGCAUAUAUUUACCUGUGCAAUUAAAUAAUAUAUGAGCAUAAUAAGAGAAAAAAGAAUUAAACACAUAUUAAUGGGAGGGGAAAAACAUGUUGAUGGGAGUACGAGAUCAUCAAAAUAGAACAGUAAAGAACACCCUUUGUGCCUUUACUUUUCCUCACAUAAAAAUAAAUACGUAAUGGCACGAUAUUAUUAUUUGUGAUUUACACUCUUUCUCACAUGAAAAUAAAUGUGCAAUGACACGACAUCGUUAUUCGUGCUUUACACUCUUUCUCACGUGAAAAUAAAUAUUCAAUGCCACGAUAUUAUCCUUCGUACUUUACAUUUAGUGGCAGCUGAAGCCCAAGGCAGGUAAGGCCAGGGCUUUAGGCCCCAUAAAUUUGAAGGCCUCACUUUUUAUUAGUUUUAGGUUUAUGUAUUUAUUUUUCUUUUAGAAAAAUAAGUACUUAAUGUAAAAAGCUAUAAUUUUGCUGGUGAAAAGGAAAAGUGACGUUUACUUCUACCAUUAUUGUAUAUUGGGGAUAUAAAUAGUUAUUUUUAGUGUUUUUGCCUUUUUGGGCGUGACUCUACUUUUUUUUUAAUAUUUAUUUAUAACUACAAAGCUGAAACUAUACUUGCCUUCUUCUUUUUGACAUUAACUUUUAUAAAGCUUUACAAUAAUUCUUACCUUUUCCUGUCAAAAGAAUUACAAGAACCUUGUGAUUAUUUUUUGUGAACAAAUACAAAAUUGGUAAGUACGAAUUUUUUUCAAUGAUAAUUUUUCUUUCUUUUCAAGUAGUUUUUUUUUUCACGUAUUGUAAUUGGAACUGAUUUUGAUAGUCAUUAGUCAAUUAAGAGAGGGUUUAAAAAAUAAAAUUUUAUAAUAUGUAUUGACUGUUUAUUACUUAAAAUUUUACAAUAUGAUAUGGCUGCAAUCUCAUAAGACUCAUAUUCACAAUGAAAUUUUUUUGCUGCUUAUUAUAAUUUAGAGUUGAGAUUUAAAUUUCGUUUAGAAAUCUACUUUGAUGGCAAGAUCCGGUUGAAGAGUAUUGUAUAUAUAAAAUUUUAUAUUUUUUCUGCUGAAGAGGAUUAAAUAUACAAAAUUGUGUAAAUUUUUUUCCAGGUUUUCAAGCACAAAAGUAUUAAAAAGUUACUUGGGGAUAAACUUAUUGAAUCAGAUUCUAUUAUUCUAACUUUUUGAUUUUUUUAAUCUAAAUUUUGUUAUUUUUUAAAUUUUUACUUCAUAGAUAUACUGUAGUUUUUGGUAUUUAGUUGAGUAAAAUAUGUCUACUAAAAAAUAUGAAUUUGGUUAUGCAAAAAUUCAAAAAAAAAAUAUUAGAACUUUAAUACAAUUCCAAAAAGAGCACUUGAUAAAUUUUUAUCAAGUAAUAAAAAUUCUAAACUAGAAAAUAUGGGAGAAUGUUCUUUGAAUGAACAAGUUAAUAAUCUAGUUGAGUUAGAUGAUAAUAAAAUUCAAAAAAAAAAAAGAAGGUAGGUAGAAAUCUGACAUAAAUUCUCAAAAAAAUCAAGAACUUUUAAAUGAAUUGAAUACUUGCACACCUAAAAACAUAUUGAUCCCAGUCAAUGGACUGAUGUAGAUACAAAGUUGAGAGGUAUAUUAUUAGAAAAAGGAUCAAUUAGAAUUACAUAAGUAGAUUUUUCCAGGAAUAAAUUCGUAAGACAUUUUUCUGCUACACAUUAUAUCCAAAAGUUCGCAAACGACGAAAUGCAUGAAAGGAGAUGGUUAAUUUAUUCCAAAGACUUGAAUAAUGUAUUUUAUUUUUGUGCAAGUUAUUCACUACAACUUCAAGUGCUUGUAGUAGUAAAUUAGCUAGUGAAGGAAUUAGAGAUUGGAAAAACCUUAGUACUAAACUCAAAGCUCAUGAAACUACAAAAUAAAAUAUUAUUAAUAUGAGUGCAUGGAUUAAUUUAGAAACGAGAUUGCACAAAAAUAAAACAAUAGAUAAAGAUGUUCAAGAACAAAUUAAUAAAGAUAGAGAGCACUGAAAAAAUGUAUUGACAAGAAUAUAUGUUGUGAUAAAAAUACUUGAAAUUUUUUUUUUGCCAUUUAGGGGGAAAAUGAAAAUAUAUAGCAAGAAAACAAUGGUAAUUUUUUAAGUUUGAUUGAAAUGAUCGCGGAAUUUGAUCCAAUCAUGUAAGAACAUGUUCGAUGAAUUAAACAUGAUGAAAUUCAUAAUCAUUACCUUGAACAUAAUAUACAAAAUAAAUUGAUAAAUUUAUUAGCAAGUAAAUUUAGAAAUUAGAUUAUUCAAAAAAUCAAAGAAACAAAGUAUUUCUCAAUUAUACUUGAUCGCACUCCAGAUAUAAGUCAUCAAGAACUAAUGUCUUUCAUAUUGCGGAGUGUUGAUAUUUCAUCAACUCCAAUAAAAAUUACUGAAAACUUAUUAGAAUUUGUAAAAGUAGAUGAUACAAGUGGAAAAGAUAUAUUUAAAGUUAUUAUGAAUGAGAUAGAAAAUAUUGGACUUAAUAUUGGUAAUUUAAGAGGACAAUGAUAUGAUAACCGAUCCAAUAUAAAGGGUAAACACCAAGGAGUGGAAAAAAGAUUUCUUGAUAUAAAUCCUCAAUUAUUCUAUACACCAUGUGAUUGUCACAAUUUAAAUUUGAUACUUUGUGAUAUAGCUAAUUCUUGUACAAAAGCUAUAUCAUUCUUUGGAGUGCUACACCGUAUAUACUCACUUUUUUCUUCUUCCACUAAGCGAUGGAAAGUUUUAAAAGAUAGUAUGCCCAACCUAACUCUUAAAUUAUUGUCACAAACACGUUGGGAAAGUCGUACUGAAAGUAUCAAAGCGAUAAGAUUUCAAACUCCACAAAUAAGAGAUGUUUUAUUAAAAUUAGCAGAAGCUAGUGAGGAUCCAAAAAGUUAAAAGUGAAGCUAAUUAUUUCACAACAUACAAGCUUUACAAUUUUGAGUUUUUAUUGGAUAUAACUAUUUGGUAUGAUAUAUUGUUUGCUAUUAAUUCAGUUAGUAAAAGUUUGCAAUAAAAAGACAUGCAAAUUGAUGUAUCCAUAGAUUAACUAAUAGGCUAUAUUUCUUAUUUUUAAAAAUAUAGAGAAGAAGGAUUCACAAGUGCUAUGAUUUCUGCUAGGGAAAUUGCAUCUGAGAUAAAUAUAGAAUCUGAAUUUCGUAAAAAAUGAAUAAUCUAUAAAAAAAUAAUUUGAUGAGAAUGUUGAUAAUGAAACCAUAAAGUCUCUUGAAGAAUCUUUUAGAGUAGAUUAAUUUUUAAAUAUUGUAAACCAAGCCAUUCUUUCGCUUCAAAAUAGAUUCGAACAGUUCGAAGCAUAUGAACGUAUUUUUGAUUUUUUGUUUAGUGGUAAAAAAUUAAAGUCAUUAGAUGAUGAGAAUUUGAAAAAAAUAUUGUCUUAACCGUGAAAUGUCUUUAAGACAUUAUAGUUACUCUGAUAUUAACGGUCUAGAAUUAUUUUCUGAAUUAAAAGUAUUGAGAGAAAUAUUACAAGUAGAAGAUAAUAUUCUACUCGACAUACUCAAUUAAAUAAAAAGACUUGAUUUUUUUUCAAAUGCAUAUAUUGCUUAUAGAAUAAUGUUAAUAGUUCCUGUAACAGUUGCUUCUGCAGAAUUUUUUUUCUCAAAAUUAAAAUUGAUAAAAUCUUAUUUAGGAUCAACUAUGUCUCAAAAGACAUUAAAUGUAUUAGCCAUUUUAUUAAUUCAAAAAGAAUUGUUAAAGGAAAUAGAUUAUAAAAAGAUUAUUAAUAAUUUUUUAACUCAAAAAGCUUGAAAAAUAGCCUUUAAAUAAAAUAUGUAUAAUUUUUUUAGAAGAACUUAAGACCUCUAAUUACAAUUUGGCUUUAGACCUCAAACUGUAUUGAGCCGCCUCUAUUUACACUCUUCCUCACCAAACAACAAAUCAAUAACAACCGGGGAAUAAGAUUAUUAAUAACAAGCCUCAUCAAUAUUUAGCUUCCCAACGUCAACCACAACUUCGAGUGAAUACUCAACAAAUAUCUAAUUCCCGUAAAACAUGAUAAGAAUAAGACUCAUUCGCAUGCUAUGACCCGACAAUAACGUACAGAUACUCAUCAUCUCACAUAUACAUCAAAAUCAAAAACCAAACACAUAGCAAAUAGACAACACUACCUAAUCCUUCAAGCUAAGGUUAGCCACAAUACUUACCUUGAUUCCACGACAAAAUUCAAGCCUCAAUCAUUGCUUUUCCUCUACUUUCCACAUCUAAAUCAUUAGUACCUAGUCAUAAUUAACCUAAUAAUAUCAAUUAUCCCUAAAGAAAUAUAUUUCAAUGCAUAAUUAUAAGUUUUCCAAUAAUUUCCCAAAAAGUCAAAAACCGACCUGGGGCUCGCUUGGUCGAAACUUGAGGUUCGGACAAAAAUUCAAUCACCCAUUCUCCCACGAGCCCGAAUGAGUAAUUAGUUUCGGAAUGUGACCCUAAAUCGAGGUCUAAAUUCUCAAAUUUGUUAAAUCCCCAAUACUUCCCAAAAUCCCUAAUUCUACCAUGAAAGACAAGAUUUAGGGUUAGAAACCUAAUGGGUAUUAAUGAAAAUAGAAGGAAAUGAGUUAAAGAACGCAAACCUAUGACUUGGUUUUGAAAUCUCUCUUCAAACAUCGCCCUAGGUCGAUUUCUAAUGAAGAAGAUGUAAAAUUUUGAACAAAUCCCAACUUUGGUUCUAUUUUAAAAUCACUGAGUAAGUCUUCAUCGCGUUCUCAACUGACCUAUCGCGAUGGUGAUGCAUAGCAUCCAAAUUGGCCUUCACGUUCGCGAUGUCUAUCUCCCCGAUGUGACGAUCCAGAAGGUCAUCACCUUUUUUUAAUUGAAUUUGUUGUCUUCGUGGCCUUGAAACCCUCAUUUACAGUUGCCUCGUUUUACGUACAUAGUCGAAAAGCUUAAAUAGAAAAUUCUAUGAAAAUUGCUAAGUUUUGAUGUUCAAAUUAAAUAAAUUUGAUUUUGGUCAAUAUUUUGGACAAACGGACCCGGACCCGUGAUUUGACGGUCCCGGAAGGUCCUUAGGAAAAUAUGGUACUUGGGCAUAUACCCGAAAUCGAAUUAUGAGGUCUCAAGCCUGAGAAAUGAGUUUUUAAAGGAAAUUUGUUUUUCUGAAAUGUUUAAGAAAUUUUGGAAAUAAAAUUUUAUUAGAAAGCAAUGGUAUAUGGCCCGUAUUUUGGUUCCUGUGCCUGCUAUAGGCUUUAUAUAUGACUUGGGUAAUUCGUGUGAGAUUUGGUUAAAAACGGACGGCGAUUGACGUGAUCCGGAUCCUAAUUGGGAAAUUUGAUGUUUUAAGGAGUUUUGAGAAUUUCAGUGAUCUUGAGGUUUAAUUCGAUGUUCAUGAUGUUAUUUUGGUGAUUUGAUUACAUGAAUAUGCUAAUUGGGAAAUUUGAUGUUUGAAGGAGUUUUGAGAAUUUCAGUGAUCUUGAGGUUUAAUUCGAUGUUCAUGAUGUUAUUUUGGUGAUUUGAUUACAUGAAUAUGUUUGUAGAAUAUUUUUUAAGUUGUGUGUAUAUUAGAGUUGGAGUUUCGAGGGCUUGGGUGAGUUUCGAGUAGGUUCCGGGAUGCCUUAGGUUUAAAAUCAGAUGUUGUAGGUUCAGGCAGUUGGAGGCCUUUGAACCCACAUAUGUGGUCCGCGAGAAAUCGCGUGCGACUGUAGAGGGGCCAACUCGGCCGCGGUCUCCCUUGUGCGCUUCGCCGUGGAGGCUGCAUGGCAGCGGUCGCCUUUAUGCGGUCCGCGGUGGAGGCUGUGCGGCCAAAGUCACCUUUGUACGGCCCGCAUAGGGUGCUGAACUGCAGGUCUUCAGAUAAGCCUGUGCGGCCACAGUCCGCAUAAGGAGUCUUCCAGAGGUAUAAAUAGACCGGAGUUUCAGUUAUUUUUCAUUUUUCAAAACCUUAAAACAUAAGAGGCAAUUUUUCAAGCAACUUUUCUUCUCCAAAUUAAUUGUAAGUCAUAUUUAACUAGUUUUCUUCAAUCACUCACAUCUUUUAACAUGAUUUCAAUUUAAAAUCAAGGAUUUUCAUGCGAAAAAUUAGGUAUUUUGGGUGAAACCUAGGUUUUUCAAAAAUUUGGGAAUUGGACCUCAAUUUGAGGUCCGAUUUCAAAACAAAUUAUAUAUAUGAGUUCAUGGGGAAAUGGGUAAUCGAGUUUUGGUUCGAACCUCGGGUUUUGACCACAUGGGCCUGGGGCCGAUUUUUGACAUUUUGGGUAAAACUUUGGAAAACUCAUUUUCAUGCAUUGGGGUUGAUUUAUUUAGCGUUUAUUGAUGUAAUUAAGUAAUUUGUGAUCAGAUACGAGCGAAUUAGCAGUGGAAUCAAGGGGUAAAGCUAUAAUUGAAGCUUGAGUCGAUGUUCGAGACAUCGAGGUAAGUGUUCGAUCUAACCUUAGCUUGAGGGAUAUUGUGAUUAUAUACGAACGAAUUGGCAGUGGAUCCAAGGGGCAAAGCUAUAAUUGGGACUUGAGUUAUGUUCAAGGCAGCGAGGUAAGUGUUUGGUCUAACCUUAGCUUGAGGGGUUAGGAGUUGAGUCAUAUUUUCUAUGUGAUAAUUUUUGAGUAUGACGUAUAGGCAUGGUGACGAGUAUCUAUACGUUGGUGUCUAGCAUAGUCGUGAGUCUUUAUAUUGUAAAUACUAUGACUUCAUUGUUUCUUUCAUGCCUUGGUGUUGAUUUCUAUAUGUUGUGAAAAGUUGGUGAAAGAAAUUGUGACCUUUGAACAUCGAGGAGCAUUGGCUCGAGUAUAUUAAAAAUUGUGAAAGUAUGUGAGAUGACUGAAAACCUUUGGAGCAUUGGCUCGAGUGGUAAAAAGAGUGGUGAAGUAAAAAGUAAAAAAAAAAAAAAAGAGAAAGAGUUUUUAAAUUGUUACCUUGCCAGAAUGUUUGUGGCUUGUUGAUUUUCUCCCUUGCAAGGAUGCUGGGUUUUAUUAGUAUUGUUCCUUUGCCGGGAUUUAACUGUUAAAUUGUGUUUCCUUGCCGAGAUUUCUAUUAUUAUUUGUUACUUCCAUUGCCCCCUUAUUUGUGAUUGUUGUUUGGCUGAGGAAGAGCGAUAAAACACGAAGGAUGAUGCCAUACAUUGUUUGUUACUGUGAGGAAAGAGUGUUAAAGCACGAAGGGUGAUGCCGUGCCGCACGAUGUACCAUUCUGUACCGAUUCUAUUGAUUAUAUGUGAGGAAAGAGAGUAAAAGUACGAAGGAUGAUGUCGUGCACAUUUCUAUUAUAUCAUUGCUUGGUGAGAAUAAGAGUAAAAGCACGAAGGGUGAUGCCGUGCACAUUUUAUUAUAUCAUUGCUUAGUGAGGAUGAGAAUAAAAGCACGAAAGGUGAUGCUGUGCACUUAUUUGAUUUAUGAUUCUGUAAUGAUGUCUGAGUUAUGUUGUUUUCUUCCUCAUUUGAUAGUUUUUUAUCUGGAGUUGUUAUCUCCCCUACAGCAUGCUCCCCCUCCCAUAUUGACUGGUUAAUUCCUAUAUUUAUUUUCCGCUCUGUGUAUAUAUAUAUAUAUAUAUAAACUGCACAUUAGUUUAUGGUAGUUUGGUCCUCGCCUCGUCACUACUUAACCGAGGUGAGGCUAGACACUUGCCAGCACAUGGGUUCGGUUGUGCUGAUACUACAAUCUAUGCUCGUUUGCUUAGAUCCAAGUGUCGGACUG
rnacentral:lncRNA from 1 species